GUUCCUAAGCUAAUAUGCCGAACCUUGUGGUGUGAUGUUGUGGAUGAUCAUCUAGCAAUUGCUCUUGGAUAAUACUGACCUUUUAUCCGAACCUUUCAUUUCCUGUUCACUGCAUGUUAGGAAAUGUGUUGGGGCUUUGAGAUCGUUACAGCUUUCGAAGACUCCGUGUGACUACAUCCAUCGUGUGAUUAGGAACUUGCAUGAGUAAUAUAAACUAAUGUUCUAAGAGCACAACAAUACUCUGCUCUAGUCCAGCUUUGUUCAUCAUAUACCAACAUAGUUAGGCUUCAUAACUUAAACAUGGAUGCAUGACAAAGGGCCGGAUUCAGAUAAUUAAGGCUUAACAUAAAAAAUAAUAAGCCCAAUCUCCACUGAGUUAUUAGUGAUUACACAAUUUAUUCAAAUCUGGUUACGACAUGCACUGAAACGAAGCAACAGAACCAUGGAAUCCUUUAGAUCCAUGCUGGAAGUUCUUCUCAUGGCUUCGGCAACUUGGUCCUACAUUCUAGACUUGGCCAGCACAAUGCCAUUGGCAUCAGACAUGCUCAAGACUCCAUUUUCAGUCCAUGUUUCUUGGAAUUGUUCCUCGGUGACACCUGCAAACGAUAGAUCAAUUAAAGUUUGUCGCCCAGAAAUGGUAAGUAUUGUCUGACAGAAAUGAAGAGGCAAUUAACUUGCCUUUGCCCAUGGCUGCGGUGGAGGUGAUCCCACCCUGCACGGUCUUCAGCACCUUGUCAUAGUAACUAGCACCGGACCAUCUCUGGUGAGCCAAAGUGUCCACCCCGUUGUUCCUCUCCUGCCUCUGAAUCCUCUCCACAUAGGCCAACAUCCCCCUCCUGGCGAAGUCCCUGGCAAAGGUAUCCACCACCAGUGCAUCAGCAUGGAACCCGGCCAGUGUUAUGAACUGCCAGCAGAAGCCCAGCUUCGCGAUCCGAGGAAUGAAGUCCCUCAUCUGGUCAUCGGCCAUGCCCGAUGCGUCCCAAUUGAACGACGGCGAGAGGUUGUAGGCCAGCAUCGUCUCCGGGUGCUUCGACUUCACUCCCUCGGCGAACCUGGUGCAUUCAACCAAGUCGGGGCUCGACGUCUCCAUCCAUAUCAGGUCGGUGUGGGGUGCGAAAGCCCAGCCCCUGACAACCGCCGCCAUGACUGAGCCUUUGAACCUGUAGAAGCCGUCUCUGGUCCUGGGCAAGUCCCAGUCCCAGAAGAGGUUCUCAAGGCCGAGCCUCGCAGCUACGUCCCUCCCUUGCUCAUAGGACAGGCACUUAUCAUAACCCGAGCGAUUCGCCCAUUCGUCGAGUCUUUGGCGCUUCUCGUCUUCGCGGAUGUUGAGGCUGUUGAUUGCGUCCUCGACGCACUCGGAGAAGGUCUUUAGUUUGGCCAUCGACAGCCACUCGUCCUCGAUGGCCUGAAGCUCAGGGCCAUUCUUUCCGACUGCCAUCGCCUCAGCUAACGCACCGGCCAAACUCCUCCCUUUGAGAUGUGGGUUGGUGCAACCAAGAAUGAACUGGUGGUCCCUGGAAUCCACGUUGGUUUGGAUCAAAUUGGCAGCAACUGCAUCAGUUCUCGCGAUCAAGACGGUUUCGACGCCCAUGAUGUCGAACUGCAGUCGCGCCGCCACGAGCCGGUUGAUGUGUUCGCCGACCGAUACAAGGACUUUUCCGGCCAUGUGACCACACUUCUUGGUGACCGAUGACUGGUCUUCGAUGUGAACUCCGGCCGCGCCCCGCUCGACGAAUAACUUGCAGAGCUUCACGGUAGCGGUGGCACCGCCAAAGCCCGUGUCACCGUCGGCGAUGAUAGGCUUGAAGUAGUCGACGUAAGGGGUGCGUGCCCGUUCCUCGCGGCUCAUGCUCAUCCGAGCCUCUCGCUGCUUGCGGUCAUGGAACUGUUGCGCGAAGAAGAGGUGUUCGACCUUGUUUGGGACGGUGUCGUAAGGGUAGUCGGCAAGGUCAGGGCCGGGCUCGUUGCUGGUGGUGUGGGUGGAGGAGCACUGCCAGCCGGAGACGUAGAUGGUGUCGAGGUACUUGGCCAUCAUGGUGACUUGGACUGGGUCAAGAGCGCCGAAGGUCCGUGAGGCGGUGCCGUUGGCUUGGUGGGUCUUGAGAGUGCUCCAAAGUUUCUUUGCGAGCUCGUUAGAGGCAUAGCUUUGGCGGAGGGUGCCACGGAGGGAGACGACAUCGCGAGCAGUGUAAGGGCGGCGGGUAAGCUUGAACCUCUCGGUGUUCCACCAUGCUUGCACCUCGGCAACUUCCGCUUCAAAUCUGCUUUCUUCCGCCAUUAUCUGUAGUUAAACUCAUGUUAAUUAUACUUAUCAAGACUAUAUAGCAAUACAACAUUUGGCCUUGACUGGGCAAUAUAGCAGCAUCUUUGGAAUUUGCCGAUCAAUUAAUAUCUUUUUAGGAUGAAUUAUUGUUUCUUGGUCGACUUCUUAUUUUCUAGCCAACUCAACAGAGGAUGGAGAGUUCAAAGGCCAAGACCACAAAAUUAACUACAUUUAUCCCGAACCAAAAUUUUGACACCUUUAAUGACAAUCACAAGCAUAAAAUCUUAUCCAUGAGAAAAGAAGACAUGAGGCAGCAAUUUCAUAAGUAUAGUUUUGACUAAAUCCAGCAUAUAUAAACUCAUCAGAAAAGAAAAGCAUCGAGUGGUAGAGUGAUCGAUGGAAAUAUCAUAUUUUCAUUGUUAAAACUACAAACCUCCAAUUUUUCUGGGUGGUUCUCAUAGCAUGCAUAAGAAGGAUAGGAAACAAAUAAACAUGAACUUACAUUCCUCAUUAAACUAAUGAGACUCGUCAUAUUAUGAUCAUUAGAUACCUAUGUCUCUUUCCCUCCAUCAUGUCAAGUAAUAAAGGUUUGUCUAUAGUGCUCUUUUUCUUUGGUUUUACCCCAAAAGAAUAAAUACAGAAGAGCACAGAGGCUUGAUGAAGAUAUCUUCUGCUAGAUGCAAGUAAAGAAAAAUGGGAAGGAAGGAGAUUAUGGAAGAGGUUUCGAAGCAGGCAUGAGAACUGACCAUUGAAGGCACUGAAAAGGAUGAAGCCAUGGGAGAAUUCUUGAGAGAUAGAUAUUUGUCAGGAGUUGCAGCCAGUGCAUGCAAAGGUCUGCUCCCCUUCCUCCUUUAUAAAGGAUGCAAGAAGUGGGUUGGCAUGGCAACUUCCCUUGAUUAUCCAUCAAGAGAGAACACAGGUUGACAACUUAAUUAUUUUCAUUUUCCAAAUAUUGUGGUGAUGAUAACAUAUUUAAAUAGUCUCAGAUUGUCUUGUUCAGCUGCCACACCCUCCAUCCUUACCCCAAAAGCUUCCUCACUUGGAAGCUGACCAGCCCAUGCAAGCAAACACCUUUCAGAUUCCUGUUGCUUCUCAGGAACUUCCUCUCGACGGAUGAGUAUGGUCAAGGAAAUACGAGGGUGUAAGAAGCGUUUAGAACAUCCGUAGUCAUUGGAUCUUCAUCAAACAAUAGCUGCGAUGAAAAUGGAGAUGUUUGAUGCUGAUUGUUUAAUCCAAUAGCUCUGAAGAUAUGAUGCAGAGUCCAGUCGAAUGCUUGCAGUAGCUAUCGCCCAGAGUUGCAGAUCAAUGUAGGCCAGUCGUGCAGGACUGGCGAAGUUCCUCAUGGCAUUGUUUUCUGACGUGUUGGAGUGCUGCUUGGCUAUUUGAAAUUUUUAUAUUUGUUUUUAUCCAAACGGAUGAAUGAUCGAGAAUAAAAAGAUAAGUGAAAUGAAUUAAUGUCGGGGUACCUUUGAAAAGAGAAUUUGCAUAUAGAGCUUUACUUCUCUUUUAAAUUGAAGAAAAGAAAUAAAAUAUUCUUAUUUCUCAGAAAUAAAAACCUGAUUCUUCGGAUGAUUGAUUAUCUAGGUGUUUUAUGAUAAAUAUAUAUUGUUCAUCGUAUCAUUCUCUCUCUCUUUUUUUUUUCUUUUGUUUUAUGGACGUUGUCCUAGUAAAGGAUUUUAGUGAAGGAUGAGACCCUUAAUCCUUCUCCAAGAAAUAUGUUUGUAUAUAUAUUUCAUAUACAUUUAGAUAAUAACCUUGAGAUGUAUGGCUCAAGUCAGCAAUUGAAACACAACGUAUAUCUUAUUAGAACACUAUAUUUCUGUGAAUAUUUCUGUAGGUAAACAGUAGGUAAACAGUAGAAAGCUCUAUAUUUCUGUGAAUAUUUAUUAUUAGAACACUUAUAAUUGUUUAUAUAUAUAUAAUAAUAAUCAUAUGUACAGAGAUAGUUGGGCAUAUGGUGACGGAGAAAACGGUUGCGCUUGGAUGGGCGGAGAGAAGAGGAUAAGGUUGGUUGGUGGCGGGAGAGAGAGAGAGUUAGGGACGACAUGACACCAGUCUGCAAACGUCCAAUCCAUAGAAGAAGGAAGGAUUGAUGUUUAUCUAAGAAGGAAGGAUGUGCAAUACGUGCACGUGUCUUCUUCACCUCAGGAACCGGGAACCCGACCCGAUUGACGUGGUAUCGAGGUCACCGGGCUUAUCGUUAUCCCCCUUCAACCGGUACGAGUAUGGAAUCAUUCACCGGACUUUCAGAAUAUGUAUGAUAUGGGGAAGACGUGACCAUCGAUUGCCUACCAUCCACUGGUACGGCGGUGUAAAGUAUACACGAUUCAAAUCCCAUCUGCCAGUGCCUUUGGGUUGAACAGAAAAAAUCCUCUAUUCUGUUGAGGAAAAUCCUCCCUCCUAAUCCUAUAAAUAGGAGAGGAACAUGUUAAUGUAUUCAAGCUAAGCUACUUCACUUCUUUAACAAAGCUUCUUCAAUUAUUAUUCUUAUCUUCUAUUAUUUCUAUCGGUGUUGGAUUUCUACCCUCUAGCUUUGGUGAUUAGAAUAUAAAAAGGUCAGAUAUUUUAUCAUUUAUUUAUUUUUUUAAAAAAUAAAUAAAUAAAUAAUAAAAAUGGGAUUCAAAUUCAAAAAUUAUCAUAUAUUAUUAAAAUCUUUAUUAGCUUAGUAAGUUAAUACCUUUAAAUAUGUUGAAUGAGAUUUUGAACCUUCAAUAAAAAUAUCUGAUAUAUCAUCAUCAAACUAAUGUUGAAGAUAUAAUUUUAUCAUUUAUUCUCAAUAUUAUUCCUUAGUGGCAUUUACUAAUCUGAACACUACAUGUUAUUAUUACGGCUUUGAUAUUUAAAUUUUUUCUUACAAUUUUUUUAAAAAAAAUAAUCUCAUAAAAUAAUAAAAUGGUGGGAUAUGUCCUUAAUAUUUGAGGACCACUUAUAUGAUAGAAUUAAGUAAUUAGACUUGUUCUGACCAAUCUAAUUGAGUAUACAUCAAUUAUGAAUUAUAUUUUAGUAAAUACAUAAAAUACAUCCUUUUUGGGGGCAUUAUAGUUCAUGUGAUUUUUAGGGGUUAACUAUAAAUUAUCCUAAUUUAUCAUAACGUUAUCAGUUUUACCAAAUAUAAUUUUGACAUUCUAGUUGAUGGUGACGGACAAUGACAUCACUGGAGGCUAGGGGUUGUUGUUGUAGAUGGAAGAGCGAUGACAAGAGGUGAGGGUCACUCUAUAAUUGCGUCGACAUCAACGUAGUUAUUGAGUGGCAAAAGGGUCACUCGAUAUCUGCAUCGAUAGCCCUUUCAUUGCUCGACAACUGUGUCAAUGAUGGGUACGAUGAUAGUAUCAAAUUCUAAGACCCACAUUUUUCUACGACCACCGAAUCUGUCCACCAAGAGCUCAACAACCGUUCGCCUACCAAUGUUCUAGAGCUUCCCUUCCUAAUUGACGACAACCACCGCGAAUAGAACUCCUUCGAUGAGCACUUCAUCUCCCCUUUUUCAUGCUCAUGCCAAAACUAACGCAACAGUAGGGGGAGCAGCAAGAGCUUCGACGACACUAGCUUCGGGUCGAGUGAUCCACCCAACAGGUAAACGAUAAGACGAUCACCAUCUUCGUCGUAGACGUCGCAACCCCCACCAACUGUGUCGGUGCUGACGUAGUUGUCGAGCAACAACCAGCAACAGUGGGCGAAUUGCUCGACCCAAAGCUGGGCAUUGCUCAACGCGUAUGGAGAAGAUAGUGGUUGCCUUGUCAUCGACCCAUUGGGCAGAUCUCUCGACCCAAAGUUAGGGUCGUCGGAGUCAUAUUGCUUCCCAUAAUGUUGUGUUAAUUCUGGUACAGGCAUGAAAAGAGAAGAUUAGGGGUUUGUUGGAGGAGUUCUAUUUGUCGUGAUUAUCAUCGACCAAGAAAGAAAGCUCUGAAAGGUUGGUAGGCAAACGAUUGUCAAACUCCAAAUGAAUAUAUCCAACGAUGGUAGAAAAAAUUUUCUCCAUGCAAUUGUGCAUAUCAUCAAUGUAGUUGUGAGUGACGAAAUGACCACCAUGCAAUUGCCAAGCAACCUUUUCUCCACUCGACAAUUGUAUCAAUGUCAACACAAAUACAAAACAAUCCUCACAUUUUUGCUCUCCUCAUCCACAAUAACCAUCCACAAACCCUAACGACACCACCAAUACAAUCUACUGAUCAUCAACUAAAAUAUUAAAAUUAUUUUUUUAUUUUUAUAUUUUUAUUAAUAAAAUAUAUAAUAUUAGAAUAAAUAAACUUAGAUAUUUCACUUUUAUAACUAUAAAGAUAUCCAUAACUAUAAUGAUACCCGUUUUUAAAAAUAUAACAAUCAAAAUAUGAAAGAUAAUUAAUUAUAAAAAUAAUAUAUAAUUAACCAGAUUUUUAGUUACAUUUGUGUCAACGAUGAUAUCGAAACAUCAAUAGCUCACAUAAUGUGUUGGUAAUUACAAAUCUAAUUUGAGAUCAUUAAACACGGACAUUAUAUAAACCUCAACCCUCUGCAAGCUCCACUAAAUUUCUGAUUCAUACAGGGGAAGAUACAGACCUGCACACGCUACACUUCUCUAUAAAUCGUACUAAACGAGAUGUUCAUAUCAUGCAAUAGGCCACCCAUUUUAACCAGCAAUGUAACGCAUAGACCAAAAGAACAAUAGUCAUGGUGAGAUCAAACAUCCGGACCAACACAAAUGAACAUAAACCAUAACACAAUGCAACGCUUCUUCUCACGGCAGAAAACAUCACUGAGAGAUAAGCCAUCAGAAGACCAGCGACCCAGGAGUCGCAACACAGUGUCCCCUUAAGUUACAUGUUACAAGCAGCCAGAAACAAUAUAUAUAACUCAAGUCUUAACGCAUGAUAUGCAAUUAUUCAGAACCCGUGAAUUUUGAUAUGCUCCUUCUUGAUGAUACCCGCCUGGAUAUGAAGAGUAUGAGAAAUUAACACAGUUUUGGAAAAAGGUUUGCACUGUUCCUUACAUGGUUACACAAAUUAAGUACAGAAGCUAAAUAACCACAGAGGGUAUACACACCUGAACCAGGAAACUCGAGACGUUCUUACGCUGAUCACCUUGGAGUUGAAUAACCUGCAGACAACUAAUGUUCCUAAGAAAAGAAAAACCAAAACAAGGUGCAGCGAUGUAGACUGCACUAACAUAGCAGAAGCAAAAUAAUUAAUAUUAAGUACCUGGCCCAAUUCAGGGUCCUGGACCACAGUACCAUUACAGCAGAAUUCCUUUUUUAGGUCCUUCAAGAUCUUGUUAUAACUAAACUCUUUCUUUAGCCCCUGCACAGUUGUCAGACUCUUUCUGCCAUUUCGUUGUUGGAUGCGGAUAUGAACAUACUCCUUUGCACCAGCACCAGAGUCCUCAGCAUUUGCAUCAGCAAAAGGAUCUGCAUUCAAAGAGACAAGUGCAAGCAUGAUGGAAUGAUGCAGAUAUAAAAAUGAAUCUAGAACAUAAUUGUAUUCAUAGUCUAACAGUCUUUUGCAAGCAUACCAAAUGCAGUUGGAAUAUGGACGUCAAGAUCAGACAUGAACACUUAGCUUUUGAGAUUCAAAGAGAGAGAACAGAGUUUCACUGGCUUUGCAAAGAAUCUUAACUCCAAAAACUGAAAAUUAUGAGUGGCGAUAACAUCAGUUGACAUUGAAGAAUAAUAUAAAGGGAAUAUUUGCUAAUAAUAAUCCAAAAAAAUUGUUGCUAGGUAAUAAAACCCAUUAAAAUUUUCUCUAUGUAAAUGAAAAUUUUAAAUUAUAGACAAUAUAGAAAUGCUGUGAAAGUGAAUCAAAAGUGUAAAAGAUGUUUCUUUCCCAACAGACCAACCAAUUAGGAGCACCAAUUAUGAGGAGAAUAUCAAUUACAGGGACUGGUUAUGGUGACAUUCAGGAUUCCCACAUUGUAUAUAGUUCAAAAUUUUCUUCAUUAACAAAUUAUAUGACAAAAAGAGAAUCACCUUAUACACUUCAAAUCUCCUCAAAAGUCUAUUUAUAUUGAAUAAAUUGCCAGGUUAUAAUGCAAGAAUAAAGCACGUGCAUCCAAAGGACGCUGAGAUGAGAGAGGAAAGGAUAAAAAUUGCAUAGUCUCAUUCCAGUUACCAUUAGAACCAUAGAAAGCCAUCUUUGAAACAACAUAGAACAAAACAUCUUCUUGGAUAAAUACAAGCAUCCAGAAGAAAAGAAAACACAUUCAAAGUUUUCCUUCAACAGAACAUGUCCAGAGUUGACUACCACAAAUGUAGAAAAGCAAAGUAGGAUGCCUAUGUAAAUAUUAUUAGUUGCUACUACAGAUCAAAGAGAUUGUCCAAAAAAUUGGGAUAUCUAGAACAAUUAGUUUAGUGUGUUAUUAUUGUUCAUAAUCCACCAGGGACAAUCAAUGAAAAAGAUAGAACCAUGGUCUAAAGAAGUGAACCACACUUAACUGAUAAGCAGAAUCAUAUUUAUUGAUAAUGUUAAUUAAAAACAAAAACAUGAUGAAGAAUACACCAACCACAUCAGUUUCUUUUAUAUAGUAUGUUAGGAUGUGAUAUAUGAUCUAUAUCAAACAUUGACUUCAUGACAGCUUUGACAACUUGAACUCUAUCAAUACAAAUUAACAAUCAAAUAAAUCCAAGAAGUUCAAUCUCCAUGAACAACUGGGUUUCAGAAAUUGAGUACAAUAUUUGAUGUCGAUCCUGCCAAUACAAUUUCGACCAAAACUUGUGCUGAAUUUAAUACACAUCAAGUCGGAUCUGGCAUGACUGGUCUACUGCAAGGCAACAGCAAACACAUUGUUAAAAUUACUCAUAACACAUGAGGCCUUGUUUGGGCCAUUUGCUUGCCUGUAAGUGGGCUACCUGCAAGUGCUUUUGCAGCAAGGAGCUCAUUUUGCAAGCAUUUGAUUGUCUGCAAGUAAACCCAAUGUAGUAUUGUGCCAACACAACUAGAACCCUACAUGCAGCAAAGUGGGCGUAUGAUUUGAAAUACUGUAUGACACACUUGCGGACUGAACUAUAUGUAAUAAAAUCUUAGAUAUCAUCCUCUCACACGUGGCCUCCUCACACAUUGUGCCCCUCUAUUCCUCUACCUUAGUCCUGCAUAAUUGCUAGUCCUUCCUGUCUGGGCAACAGCAUCCUCCUUUAUCUUAGUCGCAUUUGCCUGCAAUUGCUACUUUUAGGCGUUUCAAAACGCAGGCAAACAAAUGCUACCCAUAUGAAAUCGCAUCCUAUAUCACAAAUGAGACGACCCUCUUUCACCUGUCUUGAUGCAAAUUAUCAACAUGGUUCAGAAUGAUGUUUCAGUGCAGAAAAAUAACAUAAGAUCCACAUUAGACAGCACUCAAAGUGAAUCUUUAAAAUUCACAACGUACCCCACAGAUCUGUUCCGUGUAAGUCUGACAAAGUAUAAACGCGGAUAAUCAACCAUCAACUUUACCAUCCAAAGAAAGCCUACCAUCAGAACCCUAAAGAGAUGAUCCCAAAUAUGACUUUGAUACAGAUCUUUCUUUGUCUGUUGCAAUCAUUUCUUAGAUCGGAGAACAUAUAUGUAAGGAUUCUUAGACAAAGAAUCAUCAUCACCUAGAAAGAGGCUUUCUUGUGUAUCAAACCAUCAGAUUCACAGUUAAGGAUGAUUUCAAUAAAUAAGGUACGAUCUCAUUUUUCCUUCUUAUUGCACAUAUUCAACAAGCAAGCAACUCGAUGCAAGAUAGAAAUCGGUCAAACGAAAGAAGUAACAAAAAUCAUAGCCAAAACAACAAAUAAUUAACAAAUUGCCUAUAUUAACAACAGCUCCAGUAAUAUAUCGGACUAAUUAAUUCCACAGAUCAGCAUCAGAAAACGAGCAUGUUAUCAUCAAUUUCCUCGAAACCCCCAACAAAUAAAUUGCAAAGGGAAAACGAAAAAAAAAAAAAGAAAUCCAGCAACGAUUGAUCUUUCUCACCACACCGGACUCGACGAGAACAAAGCCCCAACCACCGAUCCUUAUCGGCGAAGAAACCCAAGUGGAUUCGAUGGGCCUCCCUCGUCCACUCCCCCAAUACCAAAUAAAACGAGACAGGACAGAAGAGAUAUUGGCGAGACGGAGGGGACAUUUAUUUAUUUAUUUACUUAUAUAAUCCUUUUUCUUCCUACCGCUAAAAACUUCUACGAGUACUAUUCCUUUAACGGUCGGGAUCUCUUUAUGGAACUACGAACGAUCCAGAUUAAUUAGCAGAGUGUGAUCCGUUGUCGGGCGUCACAAGGCUUUUACUUUCUCUCGGGCGGUUUCUUUUCUUCUUUUUUCGGGCGCUUUCUGUCAAUCGACGGCUGAGAUCGCCGUCUGUUCUAUAACGCGGCUGAGAUCGCCGUCUAUCCUAUCACGCGGUGUGUGAGGAAGUGCUGUUCGAUGGAGAUUUGACGUGGUUACCACUUAUCGAGAUAAUAGUAUAAUUAACUCAUUAAUUUAUUAAAUCUGAAUUGUGAGUUCAAAUUGCUAAGUCUCACACUAAAGAUUUGGUACGAAGAAGUUGAGAUAGUGGAGAUGGCAAGUUGAAAGAUAGGUGAUGAUUGGAUUUGUGUGGAUGUUAUGAUUUUUUUUUAAAUUUUAAUUAAUUAAAUUUGUUUGAAGAAGAUAAUAUAGACUGAUAUAAAGUUGAACUUGUGAUAAGUAUUUACGAAGAAAAAAUUCAUAACUAAAAAUUUCUUUGAGAUACUGUACAUAUUUUAGUGUAAACUAAUACAUGAUGAAUGAUAGUUUGUUGAUUACAAAUUAAAUGUCUAGACAUAUGAGAGAUAAAUAGUAUAACAAACUAAGUACUUAUAAGUAUAGUGCGGGAUCUAUAGUAGGACUACUAACAUAUAAUUUGAGUGAUUUAAUAAUGAAGAGUGAGAUGAUGACUUCUUUAGCAUUAUGUAUAUUCAUCUUUGAUAAUAGAUCUUGAAUGUUAUUCUUUUGAGAUAGGAAAAAUCUAAAAGAUUAAAAUGUUGCUUCCACUAUCAAAAAAAUCUUAAGGUUUCUGAAUUUUUGAUGGAGAAUCGAUUUGUCAAUUGCUAAAAAAAUUAUUUUAUAUUCAUGACAUUAUUGUUUGUGAUGAUAAUGUCACCUACAUAAAUUAAUAAAUAUAUAAUACUUCCCUUUUAUUCUUACAGAAACAAAGAUGUGUCAAACUUAGAGUUGACGAAGUCAACUGAUAUAAAAAAAUAAGUCAAGUUUAGUAUACCAGGCUUUUGGAGCUUAGCGAAAUUCAAAAAUAGAUUUUCAUAGUUUAUAAAUAUAGCUUAUAUACUAAGGGUGGAUGAAACCAAGAGGUUGUUACAUUAAGAUAUCAUCAAUUAAGAUCACUUAAAAAAAGGUACUAUUAACAUCUAGUUGGUAUAUAUGCUAGCUUUAAGUGAUAGCUAAAUUUAGGAUGAGCCAAAUUAUCGUUGGUUUAAUAAUUGGACCGAAUGUUUCUGUAAAAUCAAUACUUGAUAAUUGGUGAUAUCCUUUGACCACUAGACGUGCUUUAUAUCUAGUAAUAGAUCCAUUUGGGUUUUGCUUAAUUUGAAAUAUCCACUUACACUUGGAUAUUUUGUGUGCAAUGAAAUAAUAUAAUGGUCGAUGUGAUAUUAUGGAGUAGGACAUCGUAUUUUUCACAUAUGGUUUUAUGCUAUUGUGGAGAGCUUGUGAUAGCAUGAAGGUCAAGGAUUUAAUAUAGUUUAAAGAUAACAUUUUUGAAUCGUGUUAUCAUGUGAUGUUUAAACUCGAUGGUAUUAUUGAAUUGUGUUGGAGAUAUGAGAAUUAGUAAAUAGUUACAAACACAUACUUGAUUAGACUGAUACACUUCGAUGUCACUUAGCUGAGAAGAGAACAAAAAUAUCAUUUAUGGUGGCAAGGGUAUUGUUUCAUCAAGCAUUGCAAGGUAAGUUGGUGGAAAAGUAGACAAAUUAGAAGUGAUAUAAUGAGAAGCUCGGAGUUGACAAUCUAAUUAGUUAGAUAAAAAGUCAAAGUAGUAAUGAUAUUUACUUGAGGCCAAUUGGAUAUAGCAAUAGGCUUUAAUCGAGACCAACAAACUUUUAUUGUGUGUCUAAUUUUAUCACUGAGCUAGCAGAUGAUUUUUUAUUGAUUGUUAUUAUUGAAACGUUAGAGAAAAUCUUGUUUUGAAGCAAAUAAGCUUUAAUAUCACGUAGAAUAUAGGAAUACGUUAUGAAAGAGAUUGAUUACAUUGAGAUAAUAUAUAUUUAUAAAGUUUUAAGAAAGAGAUUUUUAUCAAUAAUACACUCAAAUUAUAUAAUCAAAUCAAUCAAUCAAAUCUGAUCCUCAAAUCAUAAAUUGAUUAAAAAGAUGUAAGAAAUGCAUUGAUGUCAUUCCAUGUUUCCCUCUAUCAUGAUCUUGUAUCGUAUCAUGAUAGUUUUAUUUACUCUGUAGCAUGACAAUUUGACAUGUGUAGUUUUAUUUACUCUGUAACUUCUUUUCUAAAAAGGUUUGUCACCUUUUAUUUCAAGAUGAACGAGAGUAAGUUGUCCUGUAAUGGGCCAAAACCCAUUGGUUCUUGUUGAAGUAUAUAUUUCAUGUUCUUUCUACAUGCAACUUCUCGAUCGGCCCAUGAUCAACUCAUUAAUAAAAUCAAAAUCUAAACUAAACUUGUUACAUGGAAAUGCAAUCAUUGAUCUCAAGCUGAUCAUUUAGUUUUGAUAAAAUCUGUUUUUGACUUCCAUCGCUUCACACACUAUUAAGUGAUACUUGGCUUCAAGAAGGUUUCAUACACAAAAUUCAAACAUUGAUUAAAAACUUUCUAUGAAAAAAUAAUUCAGAAAAAAAAGACUUACAUCUUAUUCAUUUUAAUUUAGUUACUUCUCAUAAAUAUCAUGGUGGUCUUAGCAUACUUUCUUCAACCUUCAGAACCCACUUUACGGUCACUCGCAUAAUUCUUUGAUAUCUUAGUAAUGAUAACAAUCGUUAGAACAAAAUUAUUCAUGCAAAAUAUGGUCAAAUUCACAUUCCUAAAUAUCAUCAAUCUAUCUAGUUGGAAUUGGAAAUUACUUGCUAGUGCUGACUAUCUACUACAUCUUCGUUUCAAUGUUCAAUCUACUCGUUCCCUAUGCCUUUGAGUACCUAAAACUAUUGACCAUCUUUUUUUCCAAUGCCCUAUAUAUAUAUAUAUAUAUAUAUAUAUAUAUAUAUAUAUAUAUAUAUAUAUAUAUAUAUAUAUAAUGGAAUCUCUGGGAAAUUACUUUCAACUUCUCAUUCUCUUAUAAAGCAUCCUGGAACACUGGGAUUGGCUUCAAGAAAGAACAAGUCUGGGGCUGCGCAAACUGCUAUAGACUGCAAUAGCAAACCAGUUGUGAUUUAUUCGAAAAAUACGCUGAACAUUUUAAUCAAAGAAAAAAAUCUUUCAUUUUAUGGUCUUGGACACAAGUAUUGUCUUAUACUAGCUAUUGUGCUAGAGAAUCCAUAUCCGAAGGGAAUAGACUGACUAAUUCAAAUGACAAAAAUUAUAGCUUGGUUAAAAAUGAAUACUAAUUGUGCUUCCUUAUUGCAGGAUGGAGGCAUGAGAUUUAUCAUCAGAGAUCAGAGUGUCGAGCAAUUGGACAGCAAUACACUCAAAACAAGUCAGCUGAGCAAUGUGAAGCAGCAGCCAUUAAACGUGGAUUACAAACAGUAAGUUCAAGGAAAAUCUCCAUUUAUCAAUUUAAACAUACUCUUCUACGAUAGUAGAUGUGCUGAAUGGGAAUGAGGCAGUUCCUCGGGCUAUUGCUCAUACUAUUCACGACAUCAAAGACAUGCUGAACCAUGUACAGUCGUAUACUAUUACUCACUGCUUUCGUGAAUGCAACAGGGCGGUAAACUGGGCUGUCAAGCCUAUAAAACUACUGUUCUCUUUGGAUUGAUUCGUUGUGUCUUCCAGUGGAGCUCUCCACCAUCCUGUAUCACGAGCUUCUUAGGUCAUACCAUAGAACGAUUGAAUCUUAAUAUAUUUCUUUUAUUGAAGAAAAUAUAUUCCAUGAGUGAUCACUUACAAUUCACUUGCAAUUCACGAGCUUCUCUAGUUGACCUUUACAUGCGUGAUCAAAAGCCGCAUUGCCCUAUAUAUAACUACACUCCGAUUGUGGCUGCAAUGUGGCUUUAGAUUCGGUACAAAUCCAGAGUCGAAAGUAGAUAGCUAAUAACUAUGACAUCAGGUGAAUUCAGAUUGAGAUGUCGUAAAGAUCUAACGAUAUCUUAUGGAGAUUGAGUUGUUGUAAAGAUAUAACUAUACAUAUUGAACCCAAAUCCUGUAUUGCAGAUGACUCGUUUUCAGCAGAGAGAUGUCGACGCUGUUCCAAGCCCACCGGUUGUACCACAUCACUUGCACUUCUGUUGUGUGAUUGAUGAAACAAACAUACAGGUUUGGUAACAACCAAAUUACUUGAAAGAAAAGGAAUUCAAACAUGAAAAAAAUAUAUAGUUGGAGUGCCAAUUUUCUUUGGUAGAAUUAGAGAGAUUUCAGAAAGAAACAGAGUGGAAGACACAGUAUUUGUUCAAAGCCGCAGGUGAAGCCUAAAUAGUAGAUUUUGCUUUUAAGUAAUUUAGAAGAAGAAAUGAUUUUUUAUUUUCUUUCAGAAAGGAUAAAGGGUGAAAACGAAAUUCGAAUCAGAACCUUACAAUAAUCAAUCAAGGUCUUUAUCAACUAAAUUAGUAAACAUUUCUUCAUACAUAUUUAAAUAAAUAUUUAAAAAAUCACGAAAUUGAGUUGAGGCUCGAAACAUCGUUAGCAGGAGGUGAUUUUGCUGAUAUAAUAAGACCAUGUACUUGCUGAGAAUAAUGAUGGAAGAAACAGGGUUACAUGUAGUAGCUGUAAGGGAGUAAAAAUUAAUGGUGAUUCCACUGUGUGAAUUAUUACCAUGAUUUGAGUCUCUUGGUGCGUAUGGUUUCUGGUGUCUUCAUACGAAUCAUUUGGGACUCGAGUGAGUGAUGAUGGCAACCAACCGCAAGCAGUGAUGAUUCAUAGCAGUAGCAACAGCAUCCAUUACAUUUUAAUUCUUACCGACAACUGUUGUUGUUUGAUAGCAUUUUCGAAAUCUUAUCAAGAGAAAGACAGUACACACUCAAUGUCAGUAAAAGUCCAACCCAGUGCUCACACAUUGAAAGAACAUCACUCUCUCCAUCACUAUGUCGGCAGGAGUCUCUGAUUUGAUAGGCAAUUGCUUACGGGUUUGCACUAUCGCAUUUUUCAGAAUCAACCAAAAGGAUACUUAAUGCAGACCAUGCGAUUCACUUGAACUUGAUUUGAGACUUCCUGUAGCACAAUUAUUAGCGGAAGGGACAUGAGCUGGGACCAGGAGGAGUAAAAGGUGACCUAUCAAUGCUCGUGAGGGACCAUUGUUACUAGUCCUAUCAAUUGAUGGAUGGAUGAUCCACAUUAAUAUGGUCACAAGGGUUUAAGUUGAUGUGAUGAUCCUAUUAUUAUCAUCAUCUUAAAUGUUAACGUGAUGUGUUACACCGACAAAUUACUGCUCUCCAAAAGAUCCUCCACAAUGCAGUGCAGUAGGAACCAUAGAAUUUUUGUUGAAGCCACAAAUGUACCCCCUUGGAAAACAACUCUCUUUCCUUGCAAUGCGCCAAGUGUGCACGUUGUACAGACCAUGCAUAUGAACAAACAAUUGUACUCCAACAAAGCAACCCAACACCGACUUGGACGUAAUGGUUGAUGAUUGAGCAGACACAGAGAAGUGGAAGACGCCCGUCCUCAAUGAUUAGGGCGGCUGUAUGGGGCGAUGCGUGAAUGACGUGGUUGCAUUGACAUCAUGUAUUUUCCGAGAUAUGUGUCUGUGAAUAGGAGGAAAGGAAUGAUUGGGAUUCAACAACGUCAGCACAAAUGUAAUGUCACGUACCCUUCAGCACAUAUUCACAUGCUUACUAUUUGUAUAGUAAGAUCGAAGGCAUCGUCUUUAUGAUAUUGACAAUCUUCCGCGAGGUCUUGUACCUCUGCGGAUAAUUAUGUCUUAACUCAGGCACAGGGAGAUGGGAAAAAGCAUUCAUCUUCUUCCGGUGUUUCUGAUCUGAGCCAUCCUUUAUCUUAGAACACUCGAUGGAUGUCCUCCCACGUGCUUAACUUGAACACUGAUGGAUAAGUUUGACACGCAGCGAAGCUUCUGUGGCCAUGCCGACGUCCAACAACACUUACGGGAGCUCUAUCCUCUACUUGUGCUCUUCGAACGUCUGAAGGAAAAGGGUCAACGUCGCAGUUUGUGCCGAAGUUAGAUCCAAGAUGUUGUCGAUAUUUAUGCAAGCUGUUGGUGCAGUCAGAGUGGGAGUCUGCAAAUCAGAUUAAAUGCCUUCGACAGGCUAAAACUAGUUCCCGUUCUAUAGCUUUCCAGAUAAAAUUAAAUGCUUCCAAAAGGUUGCCUCCAAGUGUUCGUUGUCGUGUCAGUAGUGAAAUUAAAGAUAUGAUGUUCUUCUCCUGAAACGUUGGUGUGAACUUUGAAUCUUAUGUAGGUGAUGAUUAUAUGAAGCAUUAUUUAAGUCUNNNNNNNNNNNNNNNNNNNNACUAACAACUACACUGCACUGAACAUGUUUCAGCCAAAUUCUCCUAUUUGCUUCUACCGUUUUUAGUGACAACUCCAGGAUUCAAGAGUUAUAUCAAAUCUGGAGGUCACCAAGAAAUCUUGCAAAUGUAAAGGCACUACAUGAAAGGGUUGUAGGAAUCACAAUAGAAUCUGAAUUACCAUUUAACAAUGCUAACAUCCUAUGCGUGGUCCACAUUAGAGAAGAUUCUGCAGAGUUAUUAGGAUCUUUAUGUGCAUGUGGCUUGUCAACGUAGCUAUAAGUCCAACCAUUCCUUCCCUUCCCAAUCAUUGCAAGAGGUGUUUGGCGUCGCUGAUACAUGAGAGUCAGUCAACCUUAUAUAUAUCAUGCCGACAUGGACGGCUACUAAAAUACACAGAUUCAACAGAGAGAAAGAGAGUGAAAUGAAGGUGGUACAAUCCAUUCAACCGCAGCAUGUGACUUGCUGGUUGUGAUUUGUGAAGGAGAAGGCUAGAGAAAACUAUUUAUUUUUCUUGUUUCAUUGAAUCUUUCUUCAUCCGACAUAAUCAUUUUAGCUCUAUCUAUCCCCACUUCAUCAACUUCUUUGGUCCUCGUUUCUCUUCUGAUCCUGAUUCCUAACACUCUGCCAAUCCCUUUGCAGAAGUGUACUAUAUAUCCUUUGAUAUUCUAUGGAUGAACGUGUUCUUUUUAGCAGCCAGACACCCAAGCAACACAGAGAUAUGGCUGAACACUUUAUAUCUGUAGCUUCAGCUCAUGAAUUGCUCAACUGCUUCAUUCCAGGGAUCAGUCAACGCCUCCCAGACCUCCCCAAGUAAGUUUAAGCUUUUGCCAUGUCUUCCUUUUGUUGUCACUUCUUAUCUGGUUCAGCUUAUGACUUUUCAUACAGACCAAGUUUCUGCAUAUAGAAACAAGCGUUCUAUAUAAAGAUUACAUUAAUCUUCCUAUGUUUCAUAGUGAUAAUUGAGUCAAACUAAUUAGGAUUAAUAUAUAUUGAGUCAUACAUCAAUUCAAUCUAAAAAUAGAUAUAUAUAUAUAAUAUAAUAUCUGGUCAGUGGACCGCAAGCUUAACUCCUGUUACCAAACUCAUGUUGACUCUGAUACCAUACCAGAAAUCUAUUACUGAUAAAUGAAUCAAAUUAAUCAGGAUAAACAUAUAUUGAGCCAAGCAUCAAUUCAAUAAAAAAAACUUAAUUUGAUAGAUUAUGAACUAGGCUCAAAUAUAUAUCUAUAUUUAUUAAUACUGGACUAUUCUCCUAGUUCUUGUUUUUAAUCUCUCCUCAAAUAUAUGGUUUCAACUAUCGUCCUUAAUCAUUGAAGGUGUACGAAUAGUAAAUAAUGCAUUAUCGUCGUCUUGUGAUGCCUGAAGCACUUCUCUGAAAACGAUCAUGCCUCAAAACUUAGGCACAUCCAUUAACAAGUUAGAAGAGUUGGGGAUUAAACUCGUUAGCUUUUCAAAGGUUCCAGGAAUAGUGUGAUACGGAUCUACAAGUGGAUUCCAAUAGAACUCUCAGAAGUUCCAAUCCGUCUCGCGCUAGCUCAUAGACAAUGGAGUUGAGGUAAAAAGACUUAAACUGCUCGAAGAUAUACUAGCUUACAUGGAAUAAUAUUCUGAAGCAAAACGUACCGAUUUGUAUGGCCUUCAUUCCACUCGAAAGAUUCCAGGGAGAAGUUUCCUAUAUAUGUCCUUGGCAGGGUCCUAUAUAUGUCCUUGGCAAGGACAUGCAAUUGUUACUAGGUGACUAGGUGGGAUCAGUAGCCUCUCUCUCUCUCUCUCUCUCUCUCUCUCUCUCUCUCUCUUUGAUCCUCAAAUAUACACAUAAACACUAUGUUUGAAGCAAAAUUUGGUAAUAGCCGCAUUAAAAGGUAGAUUCAAGAGCACUUGAAGGUUGCUAGAGAAGUCUGUUAAUUAAGCCUCUACAAUAAAUUUCUUCCGUAUAUUUCUUCACCUGAAUUUCCAAUAUUCAUUGGAUAUUGAUCAUUGGAAAAAGAUAGGAAAUGCUAGUUUUUCCAUUGCUAGAAAGUUUUCCAAUUGUUAUUACCACUAGUUUUUAUAAAUUAGAUAUUUUAUUGUGAAGUUAUUUAGUUAUUUUAUGAAUAAGAUAUUUGAUUGCUAGAGCAACUUCUAAGCCCAUAAUUGACUUCUAUAAUAAUGGUUUCCUUGAGUUAAUAGUUUUUCUGUUGGAAAUAUAUAGUUUAGCUAUGCAUGAAUUGCAAACCAAUGUGUGCGAAUGGCUUAGUAGAUUAUGAGUAGCCGUGUACAUGCUAUUUGCAUAAUCAUGCGCUUUUGAGUCCUAUUCUCUUAACAAAAACGUAGAGUUUACAUCAUCUAAUAAGAACGUCCAAGAUUUAAUCGAAUGUCCUAAACAAGCAUUAAUUAUGUGAUUAGAUUGCUUCGAUACUCGUCUGUCAAAAGAAAAGAAAAAGCUAGUACAUAAACUGACCGACAACUUCAUGUUUUCUUUGAUGCAACCCAUAUGGUAAUGACAUGAAUUUUUUGACCAGAGAAUAACUUUGGAAUGAUAUAAAUUGUAUUUCUCUAAUUACUACGGCAGAUAAAAUACAUGAUGUUUCAGAAAAAAAAGCUCAAGUCCAUUAGAGUCAAUACGCAAGUGCCGUGAUUUAAUUGACUACCGUGGUACCUUAAUAGUAAAUGAGGGAGUAAAGGACCAAUUCAGUAGGUAGGAAGAGUACCGUUCUUCUGAGACAGUAAGCAGCACCAUUUACGAGCAUUAAUCCGUGCAAUGCCUGACAUUAAUCCGUACACACACGAUCGCAUCAUUGCUCAUUGAGCCCAUGUGCAUCCAUCGUUCUCACUGAAAUCACCUCAUGAACUCUGGGUUAAAGCCGCGGCCGUAGCGUGUCGAAGGCCUCUGUGGGGGGGUGACCGCGACGGCAUUACUCCCUUCCCCAUGCAAGAGGGCAAACACCCUCAGCGUUUAGUUAGUGGGGCACUUCUUCAGCGUCUAGUCAGCGGGAACAGCGUUUAGUCGCAGAGCUACCGGAGCUCCCUUUCACGAGUCUAACACGUCGUGCAAUCUCUAUAUAAGCAGGUCCAGGGUAUCCCAUUGGCGUGUCGAAGGAAGCUGAAGAAGAUGAAGGUGUUGGGAAUCGUUUCGGAAGCGCGAGAUCUCAAUCAAGUAGUUUUUUCGCAUGGUUAGUUUAGUCUUUGCAUUCUCGAUCGGUCUCAUCUUAUAGUAGUUCGCUUCUCUUAUCAAGUGCAUUCCUGCGACGCAAUCCAUAUCCAAGCAGAUAAAAGCGUAUUCUUUCGGUGAGUUAAAGGAAGCCAAACAAGUGUCCUUGGGAAGAAUGGAGGUGUUGGGAAUUGUUUCAGAGGCACGAGAGCUAAGUCAGGUAUUAUUCUAAAUUCUCCGCAUGCAGUGCUUUGUCUUUACAUUCUCCGCGAUAUUUUCCGUAGCUCAGACGGUUCUUUGUUCGGAUACUACAUGUGGAGUCGUCCUUGUCAAAGAGAAAACUGGUUUGGAUCAUAAAAAUAUCAACUCACUGUAGUCUUCUUUUCCUUGUCCCUUUCUAUUCCUGUGCCGUGGGACACCAUGGCAAACGUUUCCGCCCAUUGAUGUGGUCAUUCAAUGACCUGCUGCAGUGAGAUCCACACACGGAGUUCUCCAACAUCGACAGACAACACCGCCUGGAAUCCUUGUUAAGCUUGUAAAGUCGAACCUAUAUAGCGUAACGCUUCAUUAAUCUUAGCUAGAUAAUGACUUCUCCAUAGUGUUGAUGGUUGGGGUGAGAUGCCAAGUCUUCAUUCUUAGCUAGACAAUGACGAUUCCCGUAGUGUCGAUGGCUGGGCUGAAAAAGAAGUGCCAACCCAGCCACUGGCUUUUCUUGCCGACCUGUUCAAACUUGUUGUAGAACUAUUUCCAAAUCUUUAUUGCCGGUGAGAAUUCUUUCCGAUUGUUGUUUCGAGUGUAGUGGCCCAAUGUUCAUAACAAUCCCAUGAUAUCGACUCCCUACUUUCCGUCUUUGUUUUCGGAUUAGGUGAAGACCAGCAUAGCGUUUCUUACAUCAAAGCUGUGAGUUUCUCACUGGUAUCAUAAAAGGAUAUUACCCUCACCAGAUCUUUAGCAUCCAUGUCCCUAACGUGACAAUUCCUCGAACGUAGAAAACAAAACAAAUUUACGAAAGAAUACAAACCGGGUAGAGCUGCAACGUGGGAUGUGGCCAGUAUGGCCAGCACACCUUGUGGCCGUGGGCGUGUGGGGGGUGUGCAAGGAUACAAGGAGGAGAGACUGAUGUGCGAUGGAGUCGGGGAAGAGGAGAGACGUCGCAUGAUGGGUCAUGUCCGUCCACGGCCGCAGCUUCUAGUCCCACGUCGCGUUGCGUCGCUUCUGGGCGCAGAAAGCCUCGAAGUGGAGCGUUCGGCAGAAACGAUGGUCGACAAUUAUGAGGGUGGCAUGCUCCAAAAUCACGCCCCGCCGCCCCCUCCAAACACGGAGAUGCUUAUGCUGCUUUGUCCAUGCGGAUGAAGCCAAUUCCCCAAAAUCUUACGCCUUCUUUUUCUUUUUUUUUGUCUCCUCUCCGAUUACACCGUAUAUAUUCAAGUAAAACAAUUAUUAGUUUUAAGGGAUACAAAAUUCCUUAUCCCAAUGUUCAAGCGAACUCUGGAACGUUGAUGUUAAAUACAUCAGAAAGAGAAAGGCCAUUGUGUUCACACCGGACAAGGCACAAGAAAGGAUAACUCUUUCUUUCUACAUGGAAGAAAUUCUAGAAGUGGGUUUCUUUUACCAUUUCUUACAUUUCCGUUUAUGUCAUCAGGAAGAAGUUCUAGAAUUGGGUUUCUUUCUCUUGAGGAGUACACUGUUUCUUACUUUUCCAUUUAUGUGAUGAAGAUGUGAUAGUGGUUCAUAUAUUCCUGCGUUAGGUCAUCAUUAGCUAUCGAGUAGUGAACUUAAGCCUGUAAAUGAGAUAUCAUUUAUAUUUUUAACAUUCUCCUUACACCUGCAUGACAGAUGGCUCAAAUUCAAUACAUAAAUUUUGAAUUCGUAGAAAAUUUCUUACUGCAUGGGCUUUAAGGCUCGUGUAGAUGACGGAUGACUUACUUAAAUUAAAUGCCGAUAUAAUUUUAUGGAAGGUGUGAGCCAGAGAUAUUCGAAAAGAAUUCUUAAAUUAGUUAUUAUUGCUAUUUUAUCCAAAAUCCUAACUCAAAGGUAUGAUUUAGAGUCAUAUUUUUAACAGAGUUUAAUUAAUUUUACCUUGAAAGUAAAAGCAAGACAACAUUGGAUUAAACAUCAGAGGCCUGAGCUCAUGGCUAUAUAAACAUGAAGGCCUGUUGGUUUUCUUCUUCGUGAGAGUUAGGCACUAAGUUCAUCUCCUUCCCUCAGGCUCGCACUGCUCCUGUGAUGGAUCACAGUCCACCAUUCUUAGCCACCUACAAGAGCCUCUUCGGCGGACAACAAGCCAUUGACACUGAAACCGAGGUGGUGGAGUGCUGCGACCUCCCGCUCAUCGAUCUCAGCCGUCUACACGACGUGCUCGAGGCCGCGCAAUGUAAGCAAGAUAUCGUCACCGCCGCCUCCGAGUGGGGCUUCUUCCAGAUAGUGAGCCACGGCAUACCCGACGGUCUCUUGGCGAGGUUGCGAGAGGAGCAGGUUAAGAUGUUUCGUCAACCGUUCAAGCGGAAGACCAGCGAGAAACUCCUCGACUUCUCCGACGACAGCUAUCGGUGGGGGACACCCACGGCGACCAGCCUGAAGCACUUGUCGUGGUCGGAGGCGUUUCAUGUUCCUUUAUCUUCGUCAAACAAGCCUGCAAGAAGUAGCACGAUCAGGUACUUCACAAGAUGUUCCUUAUAUCACGGAGUAAUAGAUAAUACAUGACGUGUUGCAGCCAAAUUACAUGGUUUUCUUGCUAAGCUUGGAUUUCCUCAUAGAUCUCUCGGUUGACUGUGUAUAUCUCUUGUGAACCCUAAGUUUAUUUCCACAUCUGUUAAGUUACUUUGCAUAUCUCUUAUGACACCCUCAGUAAUGCUUCAAAUGGCCAUCUUGCAACGCAGGUGCGUGAUAGAAGAACUUUCUUUGGCGAUGGCCCAACUGGCAACUCAACUGGUCGAUACGCUUGCGGAAGGAUUUGGACGCGAUGGCACAUAUAUGAAGGAAAACUGCACACGUAACAUGUGUUAUCUACGGCUAAACCGCUAUCCGCCAUGCCCAAUACCUGCUCAAGUGUUUGGAUUGGUUCCUCACACUGACAGUGAUUUCCUCACCAUCCUGUGCCAAGACGAAGUGAUCGGGCUGCAGUUGAAGAAGGGUGGGAGAUGGUUCACUGUUAGGCCUAAUCCUAACACGCUCGUCAUCAACAUCGGCGAUCUAUUCCAGGUGAGAAAAUAGUUCUUGCAAGUAAGUGUUUCCAAGUGCUUUUGACACAUGAAAUACUCGACCGAGACGGAGACCUGGUGUUUUAUGGGAAUGCAGGCAUGGAGCAAUGGCUUAUACAAGAGUGUGGAGCACAGGGUCAUGUCGAACCCACACCUGGAGAGGUUCUCAGUGGCCUACUUUAUGUGCCCCUCCAACGAAACUGUGAUCGAGAGCAGCGCACAGCCGGCCAUCUACAGGAAGUUCAGCUUUGGGGAAUACCGACAACAAGUCCAACAAGACGUCAGGCGAAUGGGCCACAAGGUUGGGCUCACAAGGUUUCUUGCCUGAAGCAGAUGAAACAUCCAGCGAUUCCCUCCACAGCUCUUUUCUCCGAGUGCCAAUUUUAGCUUUUUGGCCACUAAUUAUAGAUCUAAAAUUGCGACAAACCAUAGUCUCGAGGAGUGCUAAAUAUUUAGAGUCCAAAUAGUAAGUGUUGCAGUCAUCUGAUCCUCGAAACAGUUGACAGGAAACAGAUAGAUCUAUAGGUUACAUUUGUAAAUGGAAGAAACAGAGGUAGAAACCUCUUGAGCUACCUUCAAGAUGUACUACUUGGGGAGGAGGCAACAUGAAUAAAUUGGUAGUAUUCGAUAAAUAUUUGGACGUACACAACCUGUUUCAGAUUUCGCAGGAACUAUACAAUAAAACAAAACUUCUCAGUCGCUGUUCAUAAUCACUUGUAGGAGGAGAUAAAACCAAAUGAGGUCUGCGAUUGUUGCCAAACUUUGUAAGACCGUAGGUAGAAUCUUCGUUCCACAGAAAAGAAUGCAUCCUUCGACAUGUUACCUCAUUGACCUCGGUGUUGGAUUGGCGUUGGAUUCAGUAAUGAAUGCAUCAGCCGUAUCAAAUAUGCGAAAGAGAGAAUCAUCGGAUCGAUAUGACCAUGAUAUGAAGCAUCCCUGGAAGCAGGUGCCACAGGUAAUUCCUGGCUCUUUUCUUUACUCAUUCACAAACUUGUAAGUUUUGGCUAGAAUUACUUGAAGUAAAAAGAACAGCUUGUGAAUUCUCGCCUGACUUCAAAACUUGAAUGCUUUCAUUGUAAUUCCCAUUCCAAGCUUUCAAACCACUCGACAUCUUCGAUUUAGCAGCAGACAUUAAGUUCUUUACGAAUCGAAGAUCUCGAAGCUUUUAUCUCCGAGGAAGAACAAUGUGAUGUUGUGAAGCCAUGCAGAGGAACGAGAUAAGAGGUCAAAAGAUCACAAGAUCUCUCUCCAAUCCUACUCAGAUCCGUAGUGGACGACAGAAAUUUAAGUCAAGAUUCCUUUUCUUAUUAUAUUCAUGACUCUUUCCUCGGAUUAGGACGGAACUAAACAAACAUGCAGUUUUCCAUUACAAAAAAAUUGUCUUGUUACAUUAUUGAUUGAUUGAAGGGAAUAAAACCAGUAAUAAACUUGUAAUUUGUUUGUCCUGAUAUUAGAUCUUGGUCGACAUAAUUUAUUUGGCCCAAAAUCUAUCUCUAUUUUGCAUGCCAAUAUUUAAUCUUGAAUUCAUGCCUAUUAAUACUUAAAUACUAUACCUUUCAAGUUAUAAAACUAUAAACACAAAAGGAAAUAUUAUGAUUAGAAUUAACAUAUAUAAAAAGAUACCUUUUCAUCUAAUCCAUAAAAUUCCUUUUUCAUCUUCAUCUUCUUCUCAAUUUUUUUUUCUUUUAUUUAUUCGUUUGCUGUUCAACAACAACUUGGCAAUGAUUCCUAUCAAUUGCCGGCGUUUCCUGUGAGGCUAGGCUGUAAAUAUCCAAUUUUAUUUUAUUUUUUAAAUUAAAAUUUAUAUUAUAUCAAAUAAUAUAUAUGACAUUCAUACGUAAAUACACUGAUCAAUCCAAUGUUCCAAUAAAACUAAGAAGAACUUGUUAUGUGUAUUUUGAUAGUAAAUUUAGGUUUUUUUGACACUGUUAGGGACAUUCUCUACUGGUUUUUGUUAUUGCUACAAAACCUUCUUAUGGAGUGGGCUUCUCUUUCCUCCCUGUUUACCUUCCUAAGCAGGGAGACAGAGGCCAUCUUUGCCCACCAAGUUCUGCCACCAUUUCCACCUCUGGCCCCCCGCCCCCCUUCCCACCCCCUUCUUCUUCCUGCUCCAGACAAAGAAGUUACUGCUCCUCCAUAUGGCUGCUUCACCCGUCACCGCAGUAUGGAAUGUUCGCACCUCGCACGCUUCAUUCUACCUUCCACCGGUUGGCCUCCAAGCUGGUGAACGAGAAUCCCCCACCGUUCUCCAGCCUUCAACAGCAGCUCCAGACACUACAGCUUUCUAUGCUCAAGACAGCGGGGAAGAGGCUUCCACCACCCAGCUCGCUGCUGAUCUAAUGAUCCAGUUCAGGAAUGUCAUCUACGCCGCCGAUGACUUGGUCGACGAGCUGCCUACAAGGCGUUGCAAGAACAAAUUGAGCAGAUGACAAGAGCUGCACUAGAAGGUGUUGCAAGAACAAGUUGAGCAGAUGACAGGAGCUGCGGCAGACCAAGAGGGCAGCGAGAUCCAGCUCAACGUUUACAGAGGAUUCCAGACCGGCGAGGACGACGUUGCAAACCAGGGAAGCAGUUACCCUUCAGCCCUCACUGUCUUCAGCUGAUGGUUCUCAAGCAACACUUGGUCCCCCAGCUAAUGGAAGUUUGCCGAGAUCUGUACCGAAUAACUCUCAGAAGAACCAGGUCAAUGGUUUAGACUUGGCGCUCGAAACCAAUGGCGGCCACGCCGAGGGUGUUGGAUCGCUUGCUUGUCCGCCGUUCAUAUGUAAUUGCUUCCCAACAGCCGAGUCCAGCUCGAAGCAAGCAAGCAGUAGAUCUUCACGGUCUCUGUUCAGCUGCCCAAGUGGCAACAAUCAGGCAGCUGACGGGACAAAUUGCAACGGAGAUCGGGCUACAGGGAAGUGGUGGUCGUUCUUCGUGCCAAUGGCCUGUUGCUCUUGACUUCCGGAAACAAUCAAGGACCCCCAGGAAGGAAUUGUCCAUGGAGAAAGGAUUGGUUCCUCUGGUUCUUUGGAUAAGAAGAACCAAAGUUACUGUAAAUGCCCUUUUCAUUUUUGCGUGCUUUAGUUGUGCAAUUGUUCUCUGUCACUCUGAACAGAUAUUUGUUGCAUGCAUCAAUUUUGGGCUGUCUCAGUUUAAAAUAAGAGGCUCAAUUUAAAGAAUUAGAAAUCUGUAGUUUGUUAAUGUUUUGUAUGAUCCCCAACCCUUUCUCUAUGUUCAGACAAAAAUAUACGCCUUCUGUUGGCAAGGAAAGAACAGUGAUCGGUGCCAUGACAUGUUCUUUGGCUCAUCUGUGUGCAGAUCAUUUUCUCUUUGAUGGUUCAUACCUUACUGCCAAUUCCUGUAGCUAGUUUGAUGGUAUUAAAUUCAAUAAUCAACUAAUACUAGAUAACUUUGACAUGACUUCUUUCUCUUCUCUACUUGUUUGGGCAUAUCAGAAGAGUUGGAACUUCUUGAACCUCCUCCACAUGCCUCUCACAACAUGCAAUGCCAUCAACAUCAAAUUGUCUGUCUUGAGUCCUCCACACACCUUCCACAACACGCAUUUCCGACAAGAUUAGGAACCGGCGGAGUAGUAGAACAAGCCAAAGUGCAAUGCAUUCAGGAAAGCAAACCAAGUAUCUGUGGAAAAGAGAAAAUGUGAUAUCCCACAACAUGCUGACUGAGCUACCUCUAUCUAUGUAUCUAUCUACGACUCAAGAAGUCUCAUUCUUGUCAGCUUCUGCAUGUUCUUUUGUCUUUGUUAUAAGGGAGGAUCGAGAAGAUGCAAAGCAUGACUACAGUCAAAAAUAUCCGUCUUUUGAGCAGUACAUAGUGCUCUGAAUUCACCCCGUGGUGGUGGCGGUGAGGAUCACAUCACCGGGCAGUUUCAUUACCGCGGUUCAUCUUGCCCAUGGAGAGUGUGAGGUAUAGCAGUAUCAGUGUUCCCAUACAAGACCUGCACAAAUGAGACCACACAUCGAAAAUCUAAAUCACCGAAUCCAAUUCUUACUGCUUUACUAUGUUUCCUAUUAGCUCUAAUUCUUGCUACCAACGCUAUCUAUGUGACCGAUACAAACAUUAUCCAAAAGAAAGUACAACUCGAGGCUAUCUAUCUGAUCAAUAAUAAUAAUUCAAACUUUUAAGUCCAAGUUUCUACCAUUAGCAUCACCAUCUUCACCCUCUGAGGGUGACUUGACACCUAAGGGAAUUAAAAGGAGGAAAAAGAAAGGACAUGGAACAACUCUUUUCUUGAAAUGCAAGCCGAGAAACUUAACUAAAAGAAAGUUGAAUUUGCAUCAUAGUCGCAUACUUUCUCUCCCUUUUGCAUUCGAGACCCCCACGCAUCAAAUUGUCACCAUUGGAGGACCCAUUUUUAGUCAAAGAAUGCUUCCUUCGUUCUUCUUGCCGUUUUAUGCAAGUAAUCCAACUAUUUCAUAUACUCGUGGAAAUGUGUCACCAUCGACACCUACCAUUACUAUGACGACAUGGUUUUAAAGCCAUAUUAAUAUUGGUAUCAUUACAAGAGAUUGGCAUUGGAGAAGACUAAGUUUAUACUAGAAAUCAUGAAAAGUGAACGAUUAUUAGCGACCAAACUGUUAAAAUAAUAAGAAACUUAUUGAUCGUUAUUUCUCUCGUAUAAUAAGCAUUAAAAGGGAGAAUCGCAUUCGUUCAUAAAAAUACCCUAGUUUUUCUGUAGAAACAGAUGGUGUCAUAAACUUACAAGGUGGCGAAGACGACAACGAUUCCGCUUGGGUCGAGCCAUCGCGAGGUUGGACGCCGAGCGCCGACUCGCCUCCACCUCGCUCCAUCCAGUGUCGGAGCCAUCGCACGGGGAAUCCCGACUGCCUCACCCUCCAUCGCCACGUGUACCGAAAGAGGCGACUUCUCGGCCCAUCCGUGCCCACCUGCGCGAUUAUCCAUCGUACAAAGCCCAAUCAGUUACGUUAGUCCGAUGGCGAGCGCACGCGUCCACAGCCCGGACGAGUCGGGUCGUGACUCACCGGCGCCAGGAAGCUCCUCUCCUUCCACAGUCUUGCUCUUCUCUUUUUCGACGCCGCUGCCAUGUGAUCCUUUUCUUGAAGGAAUCUUCUUCGUCAACUUUAGAAACCAGAUCCCGAUGAGUUAAAUCGUCAAUAAACAUUCAUGAUUAAUCUUCUACCAAAUCAACAUGAAAUCGUAGAGGACAAAGAACAGGAAAAAAGGAAGAGUACUCGUGGGCUUGAACUGGAAUGACCCUUGGUGUUUACUACGAGUUGCUGAGAGAUCUCAUCGACGUCAACAGCAACGAAGCAGUCGAACGUCUCCCUCUCUGAAGUAUCCGGUUUCAGUUCUCGGGUCGAUGCAAGCUCGUAAGAACUCUUCGUAGACGAGUCGAAGCAGUGAUAAUAAGUUGGGAGGAGUGGGUACAACAGAAUACAUUGGAACAGCAGCUGAUUGAAGUACCUAUAUGAGUACUCACCAAGUGCGCAGUUUUGGCCAUCGCUUCACUAUGGAUAUCUAUUUGUUUCCUCGCUACGACAUGAAGAAUAGAUUACUGCAAGAAACGAUGGAGAGUAUGAUACAGGUGAUGGCGAAACGGAAGGAAGCAAAAGGAGAGAAGGAGAGUAUUCUGUGUCACUCUCCUCCUAUAUAGGAGAAAGGAGGUGUGAACACUUACGGAAGAUCUGGAUUGCUGCGGAAAUCAGAUAGGAAUGACCCAGCUUCUGUCGCCUUUUUCCCAAGAAUGAAUAGUUCCUGUUCAAUAUGGACACAAGUAUUCAUCAAUAUGAACACAAGAAGUGGCAACAAGCAUCAGAAAUGGACAAAUGGGCAAAACACGAACAGUGAGAUUUGAAUGACAGAUGAGAUAUUGGUUGACUCCAACUACGAGGCAAAGAUGGUCGACUCCAAUUUUUGGAAUAGUGGUACGGGAGAGCGGACAGGUGUUCCUCGCAUGCAGUGGAUGCUUUGUGCGGUCAAAGGAGUAACUACUCCGGAAACAUAUAUAAGAAGAAGCAGAAAGAGAAUGGAAGUCUAUAAGAAAUCUCGAUUUGAUUUUGAGAAUGUUAUCCGCAUCUUACUAAGUGUCAACCCUUAUCGCAUUAAUGUUCCAAUUCCAUUGGAUCGCUUGUACUAUCUUCCUAUUAUUUCAUGAAAAUGAUGGAAUGAGCUGGAGUUGACCAUCCGACAUCAACAACCAACUACUAUUUUAGAUUUUGGAAACUCAUUGAUCUCUGCUACAUAGCCAAAGAUACUGCUACACUGGGCCAACAAUUAUCCAGUGCAUGGACAGUUGCUCCAUGAUGAUCAAUGAGUUAUUGUGGUUGCAUACGUUCUUGGAAUCGAGCAUAGAUGUACAGGCACUAUUCCACUUUUGCUCCCAUCUGAAUUGGAAAUGCACUUAUUAUGUUCUAAAAAAUCUUUUAAUUAAUUACUUCAGCACAAUCACGAGGAGUUGAGAUGAAAAAGCCAGGAAAAGAUUUCAUUCAUGGUAGACAAGUGUUGAAGAUAAAGACAGUGAAAUGAAAUACUCUGUUUGACAUGUCAAGCGUAGUGCAGCAGAGUCGAAUACUACUACGUAGAAGAACAAUUAAGCAAAUAUCAUUUCUUUAUUUUCAUUUUUUUGUCAUCUUAUUUGAGGUCUCGAAUACGUUAUAUUGGAUGGUGCAACUUGUCCUUAGUUUAGCACCUUCCAAGUCAACUCCUUAAUUUUCUGCUCAAUGUUCUCCAUUAUUAGUGGAGCUUGCAGCAUAUGCGAGGAAGUGCCAAAUUCUGAGGCAGGUCAGCUGAGCCAAAUUCAUAAUAUCUAAUGAGGAUAUGAUGUUGAUCAACAAGUCGCUUAUUAAAUUAGAAGUCUAGCAUGAUUUCAGCCUCCUAAUCUGAGAAAUCUCUGUUGCUUUAACCUCUUCUGAAGCUGCUAAUAGUUCAUUAAAGGAUCCUGGAAAAGAGUACCAGAGGAGUGUGCUGUGCCUUUAGUUUGUGCAGUACUUGGUAGGCUUCAUUUUAUUGCUAGUGUUCUUCCUACUCACUAAAUUUCAUAUAAAUUAGCUGUUUAUGCUUUAUACAUGCAUGGCCUAAAAAUGUAUAAAGUUGAGCAUGUUUUCUAUUAUGUUUUAUUUAAUCAUUUUCAUUCAUGCCUUGUAAUUGAAGAGAUUUCCAAGAAACUCCCUAAUUAAAUUCUCCUUCAAUAUAGAACUAAUACUCCAUAAAUCAAAAUUAUAACAUAAUAUAGAAACAGAUAGAGACCAAGCCAACUAUAUAUUCACAUGGCCAGCCAUAUAUAGAAUCUCUUACUUCUAAAAAGUUUCAUAACCCAACAUGUCUUUGCUAGACAAGCAAAACUGCCUUUGAGUAUACAAAGAAGUCAAGCAGUUUUUUUGAGAGAGAGGAAGAGAGUAGUAGCUAAGCAGCUUCUUUGAAAGAAAUUUAAAGUGAAGAAAGAAACUUCGGCAUAGUUGUGCCUUGGUGCUUCUUCAUGUUCUUCAUUGGGUCCUUUGACCCAAAUAUUUAGUAUAAUGAGCUACUUGGCUUUUCAAAAUGUACAUAACUAUUCACCCUCAGUAUUCCAUUCAAAGUACAGUUCUUGCCCUCUAAAUUAUUGCUGGUUGACUUGAUCACAUAUCUAAUUUUAAUUCGUCUAAUUCUCCAAGGCAUUUGCCACUGAAGAUGUCUCAACUCUGUGUCAUCCAACUAGACCAAAUCGAGACAUUUUUCGACCAAAGUUGGUGUUUUUUCGGGCUUAUACUGGAUGCGAGUCGCUUGACCUACGCUGACCAAAUUAUUGAACUGAAUUAAGCUAAACUAUGCAAAACUUCACUCAAAUUUACCUGAAUUCCAUACUUAAAGUAUGCGACAUAACAAUCAAAGACAGCCACUGGUGCCAAAUGUUCUUCACGACAUGCGAAUUCUUGAGGUUACUAGCAAAUAAACUCACCUUGGUAAAAUUUUCUUGAGUUGAUCUGCCGACAUCUAAAUUUUUAGUAUUGUCUGAUAGCCAUCUGGAACAACUGUCUCAGUCUUUUAGUGUUGCAGUUAGGUUGAUGGAAAGAAACCAUCUCAUGUCACCGGCCAACAGCAUGUUCUUAGCAGCCUGUGUCACCUACCUCUGUCUUUAGCAACACUUCUGUCUAAUCCAAAGGUCUUUAGGUAAGUCCAUUUGCAUUAGAUAUAAUUUGCCAUAUGUCAUAUGAUCUCAAAUAAAUGAUUAAUGAAGAGAAGUGCUUCUUUUCCAGUGCAAUGGUGACAUGUGAUUGGGUCCAUACAAGCAUUGUCUGAUGCAGCUCGCAUAUGCUGCCUCUUUUAGUAAACCAAGUAGAGAUUUGUAGAAAUCACACUUUUUUUCUUUUCACCUAAAAGCAUCUUUUUCUUUCCUUUUCUUCUUUUACUUGUUUUGACACAGUGUUUGCAAUGGAUGUGAGGAGUUAAUGGCUGCAGCAACGCAAAUUCAAUAAUCUUUCUUCAAUUUUCAGAUAAAUACUUUACUAGGCAUUGUGAGUGAUAAAGAAAAAUUUUGUCAAGCAGGACAUAGAAAUCAUGUAUUGCUCAGACAAGCUGUACCAGCAUCUCUCAGUCGAUAAGUAACAUGAUUAUCUUAAGAGCCAUACAGAUAACAAUGAACAUGAAAAGCCAAAUCAUAUCUUCACCAAAGCUUUUGCAUCCCUCAUACUUUGUAGGUCAUCAGUGGGUCACAUCCAAAUUAUAAUCUUAUCAUUUCAAAGCAGGUAACUACUGAAGGACUCUUGUUAGACAGCUUAUCUGGCAUUGCUUGGGUUGGGAGAUAAACCAGCAUUCUAUUUCCAAUCCUCAUCUUCACCUACUGAGAAAACUAUGCAAGUAGUAGUUGAAGUCCUCUGGUUUUCUAGCUUGGCAUUGAGCUAAAGGCCAUGUUGUUUCAGAUUGGAGAAACUUCUGGUGCAUGUGAUCCAUUAUGGUAAAGGUGGUGACACAACUACUUAGACAUCCAAAUGUUGCUGUCCAAGCUGCAUGAAGAGAAGGCAAAAGUAGCUCUUUUUCUUUUCACCAUCUGAGCAGAGCUCCCAAGCUUCUCAUAGCAACUUAAUUGUCGGUCCUUUUAGCUCUUAUCUCGGUAAAAUGGUAUGCUUUGUCCAAGUUGGAUUUUUACUUCUAAAGAAUGUGUAAAUAGAUGUACAGAGUUAACGCUUCACGGUCAAUUGACUCUCUCAACUUUAGGAUGUAGAACUGAAAGUAGCAGACGAGUCAAUUACUAUUAGCUAAAGCCAACAUAUUUCUCCAACAUGGUCAACUAAAUCCUGCCACAAAUGGUAUGGAACCUUGCUCACUGUACUUGCUAUACGUCACUUGAUAUAUCUAACUGGAAGAUUCCCAAUCAUAACUACGAAAGAUGUAGAGUAAUGAAGUAAGAAACAAAGAAGUGAACAUGCAGAGGCUAGCUGUAGCACUCAUGAGGCUCACUCUAUAUAAGUGCUCCAAGUCCCUCAUAGCUUCAGCAUCACAGAGCCAACCGAUCUUUGCUUUCUGAGAUGGCCUCUAAGACUCUCUCGAUGCUCUUGGCCUCUUUGGCCCUCUCCCUUCUGCUCACAGGGUCAGCAGAGGCACAGGGCUUGAGUCUUGGUUACUACAGCAAGGCGUGUCCUAAUGCCGAAUCUAUCGUGUUCGAGGAGAUGGCCAAAGUCAUCAAAGUCGCACCAAGCCUUGCUGGUCCUCUCUUGAGGAUGCACUUCCACGAUUGUUUCGUAAGGGUAAUGUCAACUUUGAGCUAUCAUCGAAACGUCGAAAAUGUGUUUUGCCUAAACUUUUCAGCAUGCAGGGAUGUGAUGGGUCAGUCUUGUUGAACUCCACGAAGGGAAAUGUAGCUGAGAAGGACGCACGUCCCAACCUCUCACUCAGAGGCUAUGGUGUCAUUGACAGAGUGAAGGCUAAACUGGAGAAAGCUUGCCCCGGGGUCGUCUCCUGCGCUGAUAUCCUAGCUUUGGUCGCCAGGGAUGCGGUGGUUUUGGUACGAUAACCUUCAUCCUUUUUCUAUAACCGAUAUUCGGUAAACGUCAAGGGAUUUGUUUAGCUUAUGGCCAUCUUUCCUCAGAGCAAAGGACCCUAUUGGCCUGUGCCGACUGGCCGAAGGGAUGGCUUUGUGUCCAUGGCCAACGAGACCAAACAGCUGCCACCACCCACCGCCAACAUCACUACGUUGAUCUCAAUGUUUGCAUCCAAAGGAUUGAGCGUGAAGGACCUUGUUGUUCUAUCAGGUGCAUUCUCUCUCUUCAACUUAAGAGAUCGGACUUCAGGUGGUUUGCUACAGAGAUCUGAAGUUUUCAUGUUUGCCAACUAGGUGGGCACACGAUCGGGAUCUCGCACUGCGCAGCCUUCAACGNNNNNNNNNNNNNNNNNNNNNNNNNNNNNNNNNNNNNNNNNNNNNNNNNNNNNNNNNNNNNNNNNNNNNNNNNNNNNNNNNNNNNNNNNNNNNNNNNNNNNNNNNNNNNNNNNNNNNNNNNNNNNNNNNNNNNNNNNNNNNNNNNNNNNNNNNNNNNNNNNNNNNNNNNNNNNNNNNNNNNNNNNNNNNNNNNNNNNNNNNNNNNNNNNNNNNNNNNNNNNNNNNNNNNNNNNNNNNNNNNNNNNNNNNNNNNNNNNNNNNNNNNNNNNNNNNNNNNNNNNNNNNNNNNNNNNNNNNNNNNNNNNNNNNNNNNNNNNNNNNNNNNNNNNNNNNNNNNNNNNNNNNNNNNNNNNNNNNNNNNNNNNNNNNNNNNNNNNNNNNNNNNNNNNNNNNNNNNNNNNNNNNNNNNNNNNNNNNNNNNNNNNNNNNNNNNNNNNNNNNNNNNNNNNNNNNNNNNNNNNNNNNNNNNNNNNNNNNNNNNNNNNNNNNNNNNNNNNNNNNNNNNNNNNNNNNNNNNNNNNNNNNNNNNNNNNNNNNNNNNNNNNNNNNNNNNNNNNNNNNNNNNNNNNNNNNNNNNNNNNNNNNNNNNNNNNNNNNNNNNNNNNNNNNNNNNNNNNNNNNNNNNNNNNNNNNNNNNNNNNNNNNNNNNNNNNNNNNNNNNNNNNNNNNNNNNNNNNNNNNNNNNNNNNNNNNNNNNNNNNNNNNNNNNNNNNNNNNNNNNNNNNNNNNNNNNNNNNNNNNNNNNNNNNNNNNNNNNNNNNNNNNNNNNNNNNNNNNNNNNNNNNNNNNNNNNNNNNNNNNNNNNNNNNNNNNNNNNNNNNNNNNNNNNNNNNNNNNNNNNNNNNNNNNNNNNNNNNNNNNNNNNNNNNNNNNNNNNNNNNNNNNNNNNNNNNNNNNNNNNNNNNNNNNNNNNNAUCCGAGUCGGAAUUCUUCAAGGACUUCGGGGACUCCAUGAUCAACAUGGGGAAUGUUGGUGUCCUCACUGGCUCAGCAGGUGAGGUCAGGAAGAAAUGUUCGGUUGUCAACUAGAGGGUACGAACUUUCUCGAUCAGCAAUCGAAGAGACUUAGGAAGCAACUUUUACGCUGUGUGUUUGACUACCAAAAUGAUUCGUGGUUUGGUAGCUUGUCAUAUGUGAAGUCUGCUGUGAUUCUUUGUAACUCUCUGUAUCCUACUAAUACUUUUCGGAAUGACCGGUAGAACUCUACCGGCGAAGUUCAUAUCUUUCAAUAAAUAAGUUGAUAUUUCCAGAGUCCUUUUUUCUUGUGUUCUCGUUUUAUAAUUUCCUGGGGAUUCUCCAUGAAUAUUCGUCUCAAAAGUCUGAAUGUCCCAAAGAAUUCUAUAUAAUUUCCUGGGUAAAUACGACUUUUGUAAGAUUCUGAGCUUGUCCUGUUCAAACAAGUCCAGUCAAAGUGUGGAGUUCUCCUCGACACCUUAGUCAAGAUUCUUUUGGUUGGAUCCGGUGACCAAAAUUGACGGCUCCACUCAGCAAUAUCUUGCCUAUUUGCGUUUUUACGAUGCCUAAAUAAUGAGGUUUAAUUAAGAAAUUGGUUCUUCAGUAUGAUUUGACGCAUGCUGUGGUUGUUACGAAAUGGUGUCAGAAGCACAAAUAUAAUGCGAUAAUAAUUUCGUGACAUUUCGAAUACUAAAUGGUUUGAUUGAGAUGCUUACUCAUUUGUGCUUUAGGUUAAAUUGUGUAAAUAUGGCUACAAAGUCAAAGUCAACGAUGUUCAUAUUUACUCCUCUAGAUUUAAGUUUAGCAUCUAAAUUACUACAAAAUUUAUAAUUACAUAAAUAUUAUGUAUUAUAAAUUUAAAAGAGGGACCUGCAUGCUAUGUAAAAUUAUAAGAGGCCAAACAAGCUAUUUCAUAUUUUUACAAGAAUAAAUAUGUAAAAGGUGCUAUCGAUUAGUACAUUUCGUUUAGUCAAUAACACAUGGGAGGCUCGUCCAUGGAUAAAUUUUUUUUUAUCCCAAUAUGUAUGUAUAUAUGUACAGUGGGAUUGAGAAAUUUCUAAUACAACACGAUCCAUCCAAUUAAUCAGGUCUUUAUGUUAAGUUCGAUUGAUCUCAUCGAUUCAUAUAUCUUUUGAAUUCUCACUUGAAACGAAAUUAUGACAUUAGACUUAUGUGUUGAUAUGAUACCUAUUUAGACCGACUAAAGUAAGAUGAUUUAUUCAUUCAAAUUGUUGGGUUUAGGUCAUGCAAAAAUUUUCUCCUAGUGAUAUCCAAUCAAAUCUUAAUCAUUUUGUUUAAAUAAAAUAGAAGAUGAUUGAAAAAUAAUGAUGUAACCGAUAAAUUAAUGUUAUGUAAUCAUCACCUUGUUAUUAUAUUGUUGACACCUCGAUACUACAUGAUUGAUAUCUCGACAUUACGUGGCUAAUAUCACGAUGCUAUUUUUCGAUAUUUCAAUUGCAUUUAGCUGGCAUAGCAUUAUCUUUCGGACAUUAUCAAACAUGUCAUAGUUAUUGUUCAUCUUAUAGAUUCAACAUAGCAAGAUUCCAUUCAAACAUUGGGUAGAAUGUGCACAUAAUCGUCCCGACAUCAAUGUGCAUUUAUGAGUAGAUUGCACUACAAAAAAAAUCCGCAUUCUUCCAUAGAUAAGAAUUUAUGAGUUCUUUAUGCAUUUAACUCUAGCAAUCUCAACACUUAGUUGAUACCUAACUUCUUAAACUUGGGCAUGGAGAGAUUUUGUUGGGUAUAUCCAAAUGUAAUUUUGAGGAUUUGAUAUUUCCUUAUACUAAUCAAAGACAGAUGUAAAAUGGAAUCUCCAAUUGCUCCAAAUUGACAUUCCAAUCGAACAAUCAAAUUUUAAUUUUAUGGAAAGUAUACAAUAUUCACGCUUAAGUCAAUAAAUGUUUAUCUUGUUAGAUCACAAGAGGAAAUAAGGUCGUCCAUACUAUGCCAUCUUUAAGCCAAUUUGACUAAGGUCAUUACAUACGUAAGAUUCAUUAUAUAAAAGAUAAUACAGCUUCAGCUAUUGUUGACUUCACUUUGUAAAUAGACUUUGCCAAACCCAAUAAAAAUCCACAAGCGAAUUGACAUUGCUCGAUGCCUAUCAGUUGACUUUGCUACCACGCUACUACAAGAUGAUUUAUAUGAAGAUUCAUAAGCUAAUCAACGGGGUUGCUUUUAAUAUAUAAGCUAUCCAAUUUGACCCAACGUUUGCACAACUCUAUAAACCAUAUGAACAACACAUAUUCUACCAUAAUGUGAGAAUCCAAAUCAAAUAAGAUAUAUUAAUGUCAAAAUUAUGUAUCUUUUAAUAUCAUUCAGAAUAUCUUUCAUUUAAUCUGUAAAUGCAUUAUCAUCUUGAAGCGAUUUAUAAACGUUGAAAUAUGAACUAAAGGGAGAUAGAGUAAAUCAAUAAUCUUUCUUCAAUAUUUUUAAUUCCUAAGAUGUCAUAUUUAUUUAUAAGAGAAAGUAAGAGGUUUAAGAUAAUCAAUUAGGUGAGUGUCUCUCGUCAAGAUCAUCCUAAUAAAAAAAUAUAAUAAUUAAAAUUUCUUUCUAUUGGUAUAUAACAUAAUAGAAAACAAUCAAAUCUAUAAUAUAUCUUAAUCAAUUUAACAAAACCAUAUAAUCUAGCAUUCUUCUAUUUGAUCCAUUAAUUAAUAAGAUAUUUAAAAUUUUUAAAUAAAAUAAAAUAAUAAAAAAUUUUGAAAAUAAUUUUACUUAAUUCGAUUCUAAAAGUUUUAAAAAGUAUUGUACACAUUGUCAUGAAUUUUAUAAAAUAAAUCAAUAAAUUUAAUAAUACUAAACUGAGUAUGACUAUCAAUGUGAGCUUUAUCGGUUGUAUAUCGUUAAUGUCAUACUUUCUUUUAUGUACCACAAUACUAUUAGUUUUUUCUAAUAUAAUCCAUAAUGACUAUUGAAAAUUCUCUUAUCAAGACAAUCUUAUUAUCACAUCUAAUUAUAAUAUGUAUAUAAAUAAAUAUCAAUAGGAUAAUAGAAAUAAAUAAUUUUAAUUAUAUAAGUAAAAUAUCAAUUAUAAUGUCUAAUUAUAUAUACAUUAUAAUAUCUUUCAUAGAUUACUUACGAGCCCAAUCGUAAGAACAUGUUCUUUAAAUACUUAAGAUUGUAAUACCUUAGUAAAUGGAUCAGUGGAACUCAGGCUCUCAAUUGACAUUAGUUAUUUUUUAAUUCUUUAUUCAACUAUCAAGUAUUUUAUACCCAUAAUAUAUAGAACUAUUAGAGUACUUAAUAUUCUUAAAAAAAUUACUAUAAUAUAUCAGAAAGUAUUUUUAAAGAUAUUACAAUUGAGUCUCACGAUACCAACUCAUAAGAUAAAAUUUUACCAAUAUAAAACUUGAUUAGAGACCUCAAAGUAUACAGUGAAAUCAACCUUUAUUUUUUAUAAUACAAUUUGUAUUAUGUCAUUUUUAAAAAUUAUCUCUCUAACUAAUAUAAAUAUAAAUCAUAAAGUGGACUUCUCUUGAGAUAAUUUAUAGAAUUAAUAUACAAAAAUUUUAUUAUUAAGUUGAUCUAUUGUCUUGUACGUGAACAUAUAAUUCUUUAAUCCCUUAUAGAUAUUUUAUUACUGUAGCACUUUAAUGUUCCAUUUAUGAGUAACUAUAAUAUCUAUCCAAUAUUUCNNNNNNNNNNNNNNNNNNNNNNNNNNNNNNNNNNNNNNNNNNNNNNNNNNNNNNNNNNNNNNNNNNNNNNNNNNNNNNNNNNNNNNNNNNNNNNNNNNNNNNNNNNNNNNNNNNNNNNNNNNNNNNNNNNNNNNNNNNNNNNNNNNNNNNNCUUCAUAUAAUAGAGAACAUGAAAUGAUUAAUAUUAGUUCAUGAAUUUUUGUUACGUAUCAAACAUUUUACUAUAGUUUGUUACGUACAAACCAUUUUGUUACGUACAAACUGGUUUACGUACAAACCAUUUUGUUACGUACAAACUGGUAGUUCAUUUAUUUACGUAUCAAACAUUUUGUUACGUACAAAUCAUCAUACAAAAUCAACUUUUAUUGAAUCAUAAAUAUAUUGAGUUUAUGAUCACUAAAAGAAUAAUUCUAGAUAAAGAAACUAAUUUUUUGAAAUUAUAUAAAUAUAACAUGUAGUCUUAAAAUUCAAGUCAUCCUUAAACGUAAGUUAAAAUUAUAGCUUAAGACGAUUCCCUAUUUUCAUGUUGCUUUGGCCUUUUUGAGUUAAAAUGAAAUCUUAUCUAUUAUUAAUAAUAUGAGAUGAAGCACUAAGUACAAUCUAGUAAAUAUUAGAAAAUAUUUUUAUAAUAUUUUAUUUGAACAUAUAAGGUUCAACUUAUAUCUUUUCCUUUCAAAAUAAAUAUUAUAGUCAUUAGCCUUUCUUGUCAUAGAAAUAGUGUUUUCCUAUAAAGAUUUUUUUUUUAUGAGUUUGUAUAACCUUUAUAAACUCAAUUGAUUUUUUUUAUAAAUUAUACUCUAAUUUUUUUUAUUAUCCACUCCUCGAAUAGUAACGAGAAUAUCAUAAGACUCUUUUCACUUUAAUGUUAAUUAUUGUACAUACUAGUCAAUUUAUUUAAGUUUUAAUUAUCCUUUAUUUAUAUAAUAAUAAAUUUUAAAUAAAUCAAAUUAAGAAACAGAAAAUCUAAACCAUGUAAUCACAUUAGGAAGCAAAUGUCAUCCGGGUGACAACAACACGGUAGUCCCGGGAAGCUCGACAUCGUUUGACUACGAUUUGGUGGCCAAGGGAAAGGGACUGUUCCAUUCUGAUGAGGCUCUUCUCCAGGACAAGGAGACCAGAGGCUCCGUUUUUUCUCGGCUUCAUUUGUCCGAAUCUAGCUUCUUCUCUGACCUUGGCGAGUCAACGAUCAAGUUGGGAAAGGUUGCGGUCCUCACGGCCAAUGCAGGGGAGAUCAUUAGGAACUGUGCGUUAAUUAACUAGUAAGUUCUUGAAUGUUUUAGUUGUAAGAGGUGGCAGUACUAAUCAUUGUACGAUUGAGCGUAUCAGUGCCUACUCGUAAUUAAUUAUAUUUAUAUAAAAUAAAACAAGGGGUUUAGUCAAGUAAAUUAGUGGAUCUAACUGGCAUCAUUCCUUAUAAUUCUUCUUCCUUUAUCAAGAUGCCGAAUUCCAAAAUCAAAAUCCUUUUAUGCUGAGGCGAAAUCCAUGAACUGAUCUUAUCCUGCAUUAUAAUUCGACCUUCUCCGAGCCCAGUCCAGCUUCUGUGAUAGUUAAUAAAUAAAUAGAAGGCCUGCAUCAUUUUAACUGGAUACAUCUGCUGAAGCAGGUAGCAUUUAGACGACCUUACAAGACUAGACUAUUGGCACCCUGGGAAAAUAAACCACUAUAUUUAUUUCCUUGUGCAAUUAAGUUCGCCUAAGCGAAAUCAAUCCAUCCAACACAACCCAACAUCCGAUUCGACCAGCACUAGCAAUCUAAUGAUCCUAAAAGCAGCAGCAAAGUCAAGUUAGUUAUACAUAUAAAUUUACAAUAAUAAAUACAAAAAUCGCUUUAACAGGUCCCGUCCAAAUCAUGCAUAAGUUAACUAAAACUUUAGUAACUAUAACGGCGAAGUACACGCUUGUUUGCAUCUCAGUCAACCAAAAAAUAAAGCUCCGAAAGUCCACCUUUGGUCCGAAGGUUACAAGAUUUAGUUGUAUGUGCAUAUGUUGCCAACCAAUUAGCUACAUUUGUUUCCCUCCCUAAAAAUAAAAAAAAUAUGAGAGAAUUUAUAGUCAUCAAAACAAGGGAUCAACUCUUUAAUCUUUCUUAUCAGGGUCAAAAAUGGUCCAUGGUGAGAGAAUAUCUCGUAGCACAUCAUUCACAAUGAUUAUUGAAUCAGUUUUAAUGUACAACUCUGUAUGCUUGGUGUAAUAAUAAUAAUAAUAAUAAUAAUAAUAAUAAUAAUAAUAAUAAUAAUAAUAAUAAUAAUAAUAAUAAUCUCAAUAGAGACUAUUCUUUUCAGCCAUAUACCUAUAACUAAAAAAUAUAUAAUUAUGAAUUAUCAUCGUUUGCAACAAACCAAAGACCACUAUUAGAGUCAUGGUUUCAAACCCAAAAUCUAAUCCUCUCCUCAAAUAAGUUCAGAUUUUAUGUUGUUCCAAAGGAAUUUCUAAGUUCACCAACCAAUUUUUGUAUGACUUGACUUAAUAUUAUGAGGAGCUUUGUCCUAAAUCAUAAAAGAUGGAAUUGUAUGACUACCUAAGCCAAUGAUCCUAAGAGAUUGAUUUGGGAAAGCAACUAAUUGUAUGACUACCUAAGCCAAUGAUCCUUUUCGAUCACCUUUUAAUUAAUAUUUAAAAUAAUUAUUUUAUCAUUAGUAAAAUUAAUAAUUCCACAAAAACCAAUGAUAUUAAGAUAAAAUAAAAUUAAAUAUUUACUUUCAUGAUUAUAAUAAUAUGAAUUUUUCUAGCCAUUCAUGUCGACGACCGCAAACAAGAACGUAGCCGAGUCAACAGGACAUUAACCAACGCUGACGGAUUCAAAACAAGAUAGCGGGAAACAAAUCCAACAGCUUUAUCCAUCACUCGUUCUUCCCAGUUUCUCUCAAUCUCUAUCUCCCAUCUAUUACUAAAUCAAUCAGAGACCAUACAUCACACCUUUUUUCACCUUUAAACCUGUUUUGACUCGGUGUUCGCAAUGGACGUGAGGAGUUAAUGGCUGCAGCAACACAAAUUCAACGAUCUUUCUUCAAUUCUUAGAUAACUACUUUACUAGCCAUUAAGUAGUAACACAAAUUCAACAUCAGUGGGUCACAUCAAUGAUCAAGAUGGGAAAGGUUGGGGUCCUCCUCACAGACAAUGCAGGGGGGGAGAUCAUAAGCAACUGUGAUUUGCUUGACUCGGUGUUUAAAAUGAAUGUUAGGAGUUAAUGGCCAACACAAAUUCAACAACGUUUUAACUACUUUACUAGGCAUUUUGAGAGAGCAAGAAAAACCUAGUCAAGCAAGACAGAGAAAUCAUAUAUUGCUCAGCCUGUACUAUCAUCUUUAAGUUGAUAAGUAGAUUAAUCAUAGAUUAUGUCAUAUAGUUAAUUAUGAUUAGUAUCCUGUUGGUUUAAAAAAUAGUAUUAGGAUUCUUAUUAAUUAUCAAAGUGAAACAUUUAAUCUCAUUUUUUUAAAAAUUAUUUAAAAAAUUAAAAAUAUUUUUUUAUUAUUUUUUAAAAAUAAUUUCGUCCUUUUCCCUCUCGUUAUCUUCUUCUUCUUCUUCUUCUUCUUGCACCGUCGUGGCUGCAGGUUGAGGACCAACCAUGUACACCACACGACACACUGAAUUGUAAGGAAGAAAAGCAACAGCGAGUGUUGUGCGUAGGCAAAACCACCGAAGCAAAGCGGAACCAUAUGGGCAGGUGGCUCAGAAAUCCACAGAAGAACGUGAUUCUUCUUUCUUUUUUGGAGAGAGAGAGUUUGAGAGGAACUCUUUUCCCUUUCUUUUUCCUUUUUCUUUUUCUUCUGAAAUAAAAUAAAUCAGCCGAGUUAUGCGAUGGCUUACGUUAAUCGACAACACCUCCAGUUCGUCCAGACAACUCGUUCUUGAGGGUGCAGGAAAAGCUCCAUGUGACUGUGUGGGUAGAUCAGUAGCUCUUCAGUUGAUGUCCUUUGUCUCUCAUCAUCCUUGCGCAAGGAGAAUGCAGAAUCCCAUGCGGUUGAGGACCGAGGACUGUAGCCGUGGUUCAGGGGGAAAAUUUAUUUUUUUUUAUCUUUUUCAUUUGUGUCAAUUUUGCCUGAUGAGUAGCAUGAUUAUCUUAAGAGCCAUACAGAUAGUAAUGAACAUGAAAAGCCAAAAAAUUAGAUCAUAGCAUCACCAAAGCUGUAGCUAGCUUUUGCAUCCCUCGAUCCUUCCACAAAUGUCAUGGAACCUUGCUCACUAUACUCGCUACACGCCACUUGAUAUAUCUAACUGGAAGAUUCCCAAUCAUAAGAACGAAAGAUGUAGAGUAAUGAAGUAAGAAGCAAAGAAGUGGCCAUGCAGAGGCGAGCUGUCGCACUCAUGAGGCUCACUCUAUAUAAGUGCUCCAAGUCCCUAGUAGCUUCAGCAUCACAGAGCCAACACAUCUUUGAUUUCUGAGAUGGCCUCUAAGACUCUCUCGAUGCUCUUGGCCUCUAUGGCCCUCUCCCUUCUACUCACAGGGUCAGCAGAGGAACAGGGCUUGAGUCUUGGUUACUACAGCAAGACGUGUCCUAAUGCCGAAGCUAUCGUGUUCGAGGAGAUGGCCAAAGUCAUCAGAGUCGCACCAAGCCUUGCUGGUCCUCUCCUGAGGAUGCACUUCCAUGAUUGUUUCGUAAGGGUAAUGUCAACUUUGAGCUAUCAUCGAAACAUCGAAAAUGUGUUUUGCCUAAACUUUUCAGCAUGCAGGGAUGUGAUGGGUCAGUCUUGUUGAACUCCACGAAGGGAAAUGUAGCUGAGAAGGACGCACAUCCCAACCUCUCACUCAGAGGCUAUGGUGUCAUUGACAGAGUGAAGGCUAAACUGGAGAAAGCUUGCCCCGGGAUCGUCUCCUGCGCUGAUAUCCUAGCUUUGAUCGCCAGGGAUGUGGUGGUUUUGGUACGAUAACCUGCAUCCUUUUCUAUAACCGAUAUACGGUAAACCUCAAGGGAUUUGUUUAGCUGAUGGCCUUCUUUCCUCAGAGCAAAGGACCCUAUUGGCCUGUGCCGACUGGCCGAAGGGAUGGCUUUGUGUCCAUGGCCAACGAGACCAAACAGCUGCCACCACCCACCGCCAACAUCACUACGCUGAUCUCAAUGUUUGCUUCCAAAGGAUUGAGCGUGAAGGACCUUGUUGUUCUAUCAGGUGCAUUCUCUCUCUUCAACUUAAGAGAUCGGACUUCAGAUGGUUUGCUACAGAGAUCUGAAGUUUUCAGGUUUGCCAAUUAGGUGGGCACACGAUCGGGAUCUCGCACUGCUCAUCCUUCAGUUNNNNNNNNNNNNNNNNNNNNUUCCGAGUCGCAAUUCUUCAAGGACUUCGGGGACUCCAUGAUCAACAUGGGGAAUGUUGGUGUCCUCACUGGCUCAGCAGGUGAGGUCAGGAAGAAAUGUUCGGUUGUCAACUAGAGGGUACGAACUUUCUCGAUCAGCAAUCGAAGAGACUUAGGAAGCAACUUUUACGCUGUGUGUUUGACUACCAAAAUGAUUCGUGGUUUGGUAGCUUGUCAUAUGUGAAGUCUGCUGUGAUUCUUUGUAACUCUCUGUAUCCUACUCAUACUUUUCGGAAUAACUGGUAGAACUCUACCAGCGAAGUUCAUAUCUUUCAAUAAAUAAGUUGAUAUUUCCAGAGUCCUUUUUUCUUGUGUUCUCGUUUUAUAAUUUCCUGGGGAUUCUCCAUGAAUAUUCGUCUCAAAAGUCUGAAUGUCCCAAAGAAUUCUAUAUAAUUUCCUGGGUAAAUACGAUUUUUGUAAGAUUCUGAGCUUGUCCUGUUCAAACAAGUCCAGUCAAAGUGUGGAGUUCUCCUCGACACCUAAGUCAAGAUUCUUUUGGUUGGAUCCGGUGACCAAAAUUGACGGCUCCGCUCAGCAAUCUCUUGCCUAUUUGCGUAUUUACGAUGCCUAAAUAAUGAGGUUUAAUUAAGAAAUUGGUUCUUCAGUAUGAUUUGACGCAUGCUGUGGUUGUUAUGUAAUGGUGUUAGAAGCACAAAUACAAUGCGAUAAUAAUUUCGUGACACUUCGAAUAUUAAGUGGUUUCAUUGAGAUAGCAGGAAUGGACGCGGUCUUGCCUAUUUGAGUAAGUCCAAAUCAACAAUGGACGCGGUCCAAAACAGCAACCUCUCCGACCGCAACAUUAACCAACGCUGAUGGAUUCAAAGCAAGAUAGCAGGAAUAUAAUAUGCACUAACCAAUCCAACAGCUUUAUCCAUCACUCAUUCUUCCCGGUUUCUCUCAAUCUCUAUCUCCCAUCUAUUACUAAAUCAAUCAGAGACCAUACAUCACACCUUUUUUCACCUUUAAACCUGUUUUGACUCGGUGUUCGCAAUGGACGUGAAGAGUUAAUGGCUGAGCAACACAGAUUCAACAAUCUUUCAUCAAUUUUUAGAUAACUACUUUACUAGCCAUUAAGUAUUAACACAAAUUCAACAUCAGUGGGUCACUUCAAUGAUCAAGAUGGGAAAGAUUGAUUGUGGUCCUCACAGGCAAUGCAGGGGAGAUCAUAAGCAACUGUGAUUUGGUUAACUAAUAGGUUCUUGAAUGUUUUACUUGUAAGAGGUCGCACAUGUUAAGUACUAAUCAUUGUCCGAUUGAGCAUAUCAAUGCCAACUCGUAAUUCAUUAUAUUUAUAUGAAAUAAAACAAAGGGUUUAGUCAAGUAAAUUAGUUGAUCUCACUACAUCAUUCCUUAUAAUCCUUCUUCCUUUUUCAAGAUGCCGAAACAAAACAUCCAUAAUGAUUCUUUAAUCAGUAUCAAUUUACAUUUUAGGUAUGCCAUGUUACCUUGUAGUCUGCAUCACACAAAAAACUGGAUAUGGCUGGUGUCGCCGGAACAGUAGUUGGGCGGCGGAUGUGCAAUUAUUGGAUUGCUCCGGGAAUGAAGGAAGAGAAUUAUGUUUGUUUCACAUGUCAAAAUAAUGCAUCUAUUAUCUGACAGAUCAUUGCAACCAACCUAAGGCUGAUAAAAUUGACAUUGCAACUGCUAAAUCCAGUCCUAGAUUACGAAAAUAAAAAAAUAUAAUUAUGAAAAUGGAUUAAAACCAUAUUUUCAUUUUAUUAAAUGGGUCGUAAUAUUUCAACAUCAAUUACAUUAGCAUAAUUCCUAAUCGGUCAGUAUAUAAUUUUUUAAUCUUAAUUGGAAAAAUGGAAGUUGCUUCAUUAUUCAUAUUUAGGAGGAUAGCUAAAUUUUUCCAUUAGUUUUGAAUUCAUCUGGUAUUUACCAAAGGAAACUCAUAUAAUAACCAACCCUCAGUAAAAUUGUCCCACACCCAUGAACAUCAAUGUGCAGACACAAUCCACAAGUACGAGAUUGCUCGAAUGACGCUACAUUCACUUCACACGAGUACGUCUUACAUCACCACUGACAGACGAACACACUUGCUAAAAGAACGAAAACUGGCUGUACCGCGCACGCACGCAAUGCACGCAAGUAACACUCGCACAUGCACACGCACACGGGCACAUAAACGCGCUGGCACACACAAACUAGCGCUUACAGACACGCACACGGGCAGAUGCACGCGCUAGCACACACAAACUCGCGCUUAUCGACACAUACCCACACACAAACUAGCGCUUAUUGACACACCCACACACAGGAGAAUGCUGAAUGCAUCAGACAAUCAACUAAAGUAUGCAGCUGGCGCCUCUUCCAAGUAUGCCUGCAUGGGAAAGUAACGCCCACAGAUGCGUGAUGAACUCCCCACCUCUUGCAAGACCCUCCGCAUGAGCUUUUGCAUUGUCUGAUGGAGCAAGGAACAGGAUCAUCUCCACCCAAAAUUCCGCCAUCACCUUCCAUCGCAUCUCUGGCGUCUCCAUGUCUAUCAACUGCUUUCCCAGUCUCGCACCCCUACAAACGACAUUCUGAGAAGUGUCACUUUGGUUCAUCAUACUUUGAAACCUUUGGUCCAAGUUCAAUGUCCCGAGUUGCGAGGAAGCUUCCUUUACUGCGUCAUCAAAGAUCAACUGAACAUCAAAACUGUUGUCCGGUAGAAGAUCUGGGACAAACCCUACCAAGUAUGCACAAUAUUGCGAUAAACUGUUAGCAACGACUUGGUUAUCCUUCAUCUCCAUCGAGGUAACGUUUGCGCGCUCCACUCGGGAUCCGUGGAUCUCACACUGAGAAGUGGCUAUAUGCCAAACCAAUAUUACCUGCGCGUGAGUUUCAAGAUUGCAUGCCCAUGAAAGCUGUGCGCUCACUCCAUUUCGUUGCAGAGACGAAAUUCCGUUGGUCGGCAGGGCGUCAUGGUUGAGUCUGAGCCAACGGACGACUGCUUUCUUUACCUCCCUUGGCAGCUUUAAUCGCUUGCUUUGUUUUUGGCCAGCUCUGGUCUUCCCAACCAUUUCACAUGUCAUGCAAUAUAACAUGUUCUUAGCUGUUGGCUUAUAAUCACAAUGUUCAAGAAGCGAAUACUGACCCAGCUUAUUCUGCAAAACCCUGUCGAAAACCUUUAGAUGGCAAAGAUGUUUUAUCAUUUCUGUGAUCCAUGGCUUAUCAUGCCAUGAAGGAUGAGCAACGUAUCUACAAACGAGAGAUACUUUGGCCCACUCCGAGCACACAUAGAGCAAGAUCUGGAACAGUUCCAGCAAAGCAAUGGCUACUACAAUUAUCAAGGUGAAAAUUGCAUCGAAGCUCUUCCUUCCGAUUGUGAUAAGGUUGAAGUAAGUGGUAGGGGAUAGAUAAUACUUCAUGACUGACACUCCGGACCAACAUAGAAAUAUCAGAAGUGUAGCUGACAUGGCUAGCAUGAAUUUCUCACUAACAAAUAUCAAAGGAUACUUUGUAUAGAAAUAAUCAUGAAGGAAAGCCAGCUCUACCUCGAUCACCCUGAAGGCUCUUUCAUGAGCAUCAUCAUCGUUGGAGAGCAAUCCCCGAAUCACGAAGUCCCUGGUCUUUUGGAGGCUGCUCUCAGCAAGUUGAUAGCCGGAAAAUCUACGCUGAAUUAGCUUGAACAGGGCAAACGAAAGACAAAUGUCUUUCAAACGCCCUUCUGGAUCUCCGCUCGAGCUCAGCAGACCUCCAGUGCACCGCCAGAUUUUGUUGACGGUGAUAACCUGACGAUCAGUUAUUUCUAUUCGGAGUAGGCAGUUAGGAGCUUCAUAAAUAAGACCAACUUGAUCUUCUCCAUAAACCAGAUAAUUGUAUCCUCUCAUGUUCGUGGGAUCGGGUUCAUCUUGCGGCGUCAAUUCGGACUCGUAUUUCAUGUAGGCUGCGAUUAAUUUGCUUUUCUUCUGCCCGUUUGUUUUGGUGGCCCCUUGAAAUACAUCUGUCCGUUCACCGACUCUGAUACCCGUCAGAAUCAAAAGUACAACAACCGGGAUUCUGAAGCUGGAGUGGGUGUGCCCGAGAUAUGUGCCCACCAAGUAACCAAUAAUAAACAAGUGCGUAAUAUUUUCUGCAAAAUUCUUUUUCCAAUUUUCAUUGUCUUCAAGGCCAUAAGCUGAAAUAGAGAUGGCGCUUCCGAGUACCAAGGACAAGCAAAUGGCCCAUAUCGCAAGCAAUCCAUUAUUGAUGCCAGAGGAUUGCAUUUGUCCAACGGUGUAGAACACCAAGAAGGUGGAGCACGUGUAAGCAACCGAGACGACGGCUUGGAUGACGGUGUUGCUGGACCGGCGCCGGAACGAACCAAAGAUGAUCAGCAGAAACAGAAGGACAGUCGCCAACAGAACCAGGGCUUCGAGACGGAUGAGUUUGGCCUUCGGGGAGUACAAGUUAUCAAGCAUUGCGGGAAGGGGAGUCUGACAAUCACCGAGCACCGUCUUUUCUUUGGUUUCUCCUUACUUGAGCUAUCCAGUUUGGUGGGAGCAACUGCCUGUUAUAUUGUGAGGUUAAGCUACAACGAUAACGUGUGAAACAACAAAUAAUAAUAAUAGCGUACACAUAAAACUCUAAUAGUAAUAAACAAAUUAUGGAUAUCUUGGAAAAAUGAUUAAUGAUGAGGAAAUGACUCCCAUCAGAAAACCUUUGGACGUUUCUGGAUUUUUUAAUGAUGAGGAAACAAAGUUUCUUGUCAGGACUUUGUAAGAAUUACUUGAAGGUGGAAACAGAGUUUCUUGUCAGGAAACAAAGUUUCUCCAUCUCAUUUUUCUGAUACAGUGACGAUUCCAUAAGAACAUGCUUAGGUAUUUCAACGAUUCCAUAAGAUUUUUGUGCUUCAAAAAAAAAAAAUUUGAAAUUUUCACCAAAAGUAAACAAAUAGUGACAACACAAUAGUCCCAAAGUCAUGUUUGAAAUGAUAAAUCUUAAUUUUAGUUUUUGUUCAUAUUUAAAUCUCAACUAUGCAUCAUUGACAUAAUUUUUUCAUCCCUUUUGUGGCGCUAAUCUUAGAUAAACCUUAGGUGAAGUAAUAAAGAAAGAAAACUGAGAUCACAUUGCAUGCAACUUAGAAGCUCAUAUUGGUACACAUUGGUAAAUAAGCAAGCCAGGUUCUUUUUUUUUCUUUUUUUAUUAUAUCUAAACACAUCCCGAGAAGAAAUAGAUAAAGAUUAAAAUAAUAAUAAAAACUAUGAAAAAAUUAAUUACUCUUAAUAUAGCUACAUAUCUCAAUGAUGAUAAAGGAUCAUCGAUCUCAAAUAGCUGCAACUUUAUGAUUUUAUAGUUGUCAAGCAUAACCACAACAAAUGGGUUUUCCUAUACUACGCUACGCAGCAUAUGUGCUAAAACAGUUAAUGUAAACAAAAGUUCUUUUUUCCCUUAAUCUAAAGCAAUGAAAUCGAUCUAAAUGAACAAUGGAAAGCUUUGUUGUAAUAAUCACAAAGCUAAUGGAAAAACUUAGUUUUAAUAAUUAAUCUUGUCGUAGCAUGAGGAGCAAUAGACUACUAAUAAGUCCGAGCUUUGUUUUAUGCACCAAUUAGUGCCGAGGUUAGCUAACAUAUAAGCUAUGUAGAGAUUCUGUUCCUCCAGCCAAUAAAGCACAAAAUGAAAAAACUUUCCAGUAUUACAAACUAAAAAAUUUUAGUCCAUUUUGGAUUAGUUCAGUGCUCAGCUUUCCACGAUAGUUCAUGCAAGUGCAUUCCUUUCCUAGCCCGGCCUAAAAAGCUGCUAAAUAUAAAACACAGUUUUCUAUAAAUUCAUCACUUAAGAUGGACGAGAUAAAUAAAAUAAAUCAUAUCAUCCUACCUUUGUAAGCAAAGUGCGAUAACACAAUAAAGAUCUAAUGUAAAAUAAAUUUAAGAUAUUAAUUUUGAAAUAGAUUCUAAUAUCAAUUUUAAGAAUAAAAAUUAUAGUUAUGUUAUUAUGUGAAAAACUUCAAUGUUAGAAAUCAAAAUCAAAUAAUCAUAUAUUAAAGAUUAUGGUUGCGUACCUUUAGAUUUCAUUCAGAACAUAUUUCUUCUGAUGCAUAAAUACUCGAAGCAACGAGAUCGAUAUAUAAGGAAUAGGGACUAAGAAUGGAGAUUGAGAACAUAUUGUACUCUAAAUUUUUGUAGUUCAUCGACAAGAGGUCAUCUCCUUUUAUAGGUGAGACAUAAGGGUCUACGAUGAUGAUUAGAAAAAAUUUCUCUCAUCAUCUUCUAAGGAAUCCCAUCAUAAGUUGAUUUUCUUUCUAUUGGUCACUAAUCAUAAUUAGAAUCCAAUUACAUAUAUAUUAUAUCUUAUUUAAUUAAAUAGAGUUAUAUAAUUUAACAAUCAGUGCAUAUAAAUUUGUAAAUCAAAUCAAAUUACGUGUAUUAUAUUUCGAAUGAGUGUUAUUUUUCUUAGCCAUGUGUCGACUCUGCAAAAAAGAAUAAAGCUAACUCAAUCAUAUCUAUAAUUUAUCUUACCUAAUUAAAUAGAAUCAUAUAAUUUAAUAAUUGAUGUAUAUAUAUUCGUAAGUUAAAUCAAAUUACGUAUGUUACACGUCGUAACAUACAAAUAUCUUACAAGUCAAAUCGAAUGAGUAUCAUUUUUCGUAGCCAUGCAUGUCGACUCCCACAAACAACAAUGAAGUUAACUCAAUCAUAUCUAUAAUAUAUCUUACGUGAUUAAAUAUAGACUACAAAAUUUAACAAUCGGUACGUAUAGAUUUGUAGGUCAAAUCAAAUUAUGUAUGUUGCAGGACGAAUGGGCCUCAUUUCUCCUAUGUGUGUCAGACCUCGUAAAUAAGAAUGAAGCCAAACUCAAUCAAAUCAUGUAUGUGACGGGACGAUGGCGCUUCCGAGUACCAAGAACAAGCAAAUGGCCCUAGCGCAAUCAAUCCAUUCUUGAAGCCAGAGGAUUGCAUUAGUCCAACGGUGUAGAUCACCAAGUCGGUGGAGCACGUGUAAGCAACCCAGACGACGGCUUGGAUGACGGUGUUGCUGGACUGGCGCCGGAACGAACCGAAGAUGAUCAGCAGAAACAGAAGGACAGUCCCCAACAGAACCAGGACUUCGAUCGAUAAGGAUGAGUUUGCCCUUCGGGGAGUUCAAGCCAUGAAGCAUUGCGGGAAAGGGAGUAUGACAAUCACCGAGCACCAUGUUUUCUUCGGCUUCUCCUUACUUGAGCUAUCCAGUUUGGUGGGAGCAACUGCCUGUUAUAUUGUGAGGUUAAGCUACAUCGAUAACGUGUGAAACACCAAAUAAUAAUAAUAAUAAUAAUAAUAAUAGCGUACACAUAAACUCUAAUAGUAAUAAAUAAAUUAUGGAUAGCUUGGAAAAAUGAUUACAGUGUCGAUCAAGAAGUCUUGUACGCGAGACAUUUCAACUUCCACAAUUUUUUUAAUCCCAUUUAUCUAUCUUAAAGCAAUCAAACUUUCAUAUCUAUAUACCCUUGCAGUUAAGACAUGCUUUUUUGCAGCAAGUUAACUUUCAUAAGAAAUGACUCGCAUCAGAAAACCAUUGGAAGUUUCUGACAGGACUUUGUAAGAAUUACUUGAAGGUGGAAUCUUAUGAUAUCAUGCCAAAAACCUAACACGUUUGACUUGGGUUAUAGGUGAUAUCUGCGUACUUCCAAUAUGUGGGCGUGCGUGCUAUCUCUGAUCUUUGCUUCAUAUAUAAUCUUAAUCAAGUGCUUGAGGUAGCAGAUUCAGCUCCCACAUAUCCAUUUCCCUGGACAGUUAUUGCACAGUAACGAAAUAAAGAUUCUAAGGUGCCUAUCUCUGUGUAUAGAAUCUUCAUAAGAAAAUUCUCCGGUGACUUUUCAGCUGUGUGCAGGCGACCUCAUUGUUGUUUAUCAUAAGAUCAUUCCGCUUAAAACGAUAGCGGUGUUCUUUCAGAGUUCAUCUCAUUUUUCUGAUACAGUGACGAUUGCAUGAGAACAUGCUUAGGUAUUUCAAUGAUUCCACAAGAUUUUUGUGCUUAAAAAAAAUUGAAGAUCUCAAGAAAAGUAAACGAAUAGUGACGACACAAUAAUCUGGUAGCCGAAAUGAUAAAUCAUAAAUUUGUUUUCAUACAUAUUUAAAUCUCAAUAUGCAUUGUUGAUAUGUCCUUUUCAUCCCUAUUGUGUCGCUAAUCCUCGAUAAAUUUUACAUGAAGAAAGAAAGAAAGAAAUCGAAAAUCACAUUGUAUACAACUUAGAAGCUCCUAUUGCGUAUACAUAGCUAAAUAAGUAAGCUUUAUUAUUAUUAUUAUUAUUAUAUCUAAAUAUAUCCUUUUAGUGAUACGAGAAGAGAUAGAUAAAAAAAAAUUAAUAGAAACUAUAAAUAAAGAUUUAAGCACUCUUAAUAUAAUUAAUUAAAACUUUAUGAUUUUAUUGUUGUAAGUAUAACCACUGCGCAGCAUAUGUGCUCUGACAGUUAACAUAAAAAAAGUUCUUUUUUCCCUUAAUCUAAAGCUAUGAAAUCGAUUUAGAUGAACAAUGGAAAGGUUUGUUGUAAAGAUCAAAAUGCUAAUGAAAAAUCUUAGUUUUAAUAAUCAUGUCGUAGCACGACGAGCAAUAGACUGAUGGGGAUAAAAAGAGGAAUAACCUUUGUAUAGGAACAAAUACUAGAAGACCAAAAUACGCAGUGGAAUAAAAUGGAAACACAAUCAAACAGAACACCAAGAUAUACGUGGAAAACCCCUUCAAUGUGAAGGGUAAAAACCACGGGGCAAACUAGAGAUAAUCCACUAUGAGAAUAAUGAAUAUACAAAUCUCAAUCUCNNNNNNNNNNNNNNNNNNNNUUGGCCAAAACCCUAGCAACAACCACAAGAGAAUAACUGGGAUACAAGGAUCACGUCACUGCCCACAAUAUCUAAAACCUCCCCAAGUAAUCACAGCAAGAGUCUACUGUAGAUUUGAUCUAACCUAAGAUGAGAACACUGCUAGAUGAUUGUGAACAAUCUCUCUGCGUUGUCCUUGUCUUCUUCCCUUUCUUUCUCUUCCUUUUCUGCCUUGAUCUCCUUCUUCUCUUUGGAAUCCCGUGGCCUCAAAGAUCUGCCUCGUUGCUGCCUUUUUAUAACCUUAAUCUACCUCUAAAACGCAGCCACCACAUCGAAUGAUUUUUUAUCUUUUUCUUGUCCUAGAUUUCAUUUCUAUUUUUCUUAAUUGAUUCAAUCCGUUGAAUUGAGAGGUGACAUAUAACAACUUAUAUCUUUCUAUACAAAAAAUUGGAAACUUGGAACCUGUACUAUCCCACCUCCUCAGAAAUAAAUAAGAAGAAUCGAGUUAUUUCAUUAGAGUUAGAAUGAAAGAUUCAUUCUAUUUCGGACCAAUCUCCACUCAACGGUAGAGUACUCGGCUUUUAAGUGCGACUAUGAUCUUUUACACAUUUUGAUGAAGCAACAAAUUCGUCCAGACUAUUGGUAGAGUCUAUAAGACCACGACUGAUCCUCAAGGGUAAUGAAUGGAAAAAGUAGCAUGUCGUAAUAAAAAAAAUUUCUUAUUUUAUUAAAUAUUUUAUUAAAAAAUUACAAAUUCAAAUGAAAGUGGAACUUUAAAGAUCUACCUAGUUGCUGUCUUUUUAUAACCUUAAUCUACCUCUAAAACGCAGCCACCACACCCCCCUAAUCUUAAUUAGGGUUAGGUUAAGAGAGGG
rnacentral:lncRNA from 1 species